AACCUAUUUAUAUAUGAGAGGCGGUAUUUAAACAAGAAGGAAAAUCAAGUCUAUGAUUAUACAAUCUUAAGAUUAAGCAACUGAUCCAUCUAUCAAUAUUUACUUCCUAUAUUAACAUAUUUACUUUCUAUAACCUAUAAAACUCCCCCUAAAGAUGGAGCAUAAAUGUUAAUCAUGUCCAAUUUGUUACAUAUAUAAUCAAUUUCAGCCAUAAAAACAACCAACCCAAAACAAUAAAAAUAAAUAAAGGAUCCGAUGAACAGUACCCGAUGAACGGUGCCCGACCCGAUGUCUCCAAAUGUUACCCUUUAUGGGUAACCCAAAUGAACAGAACCCUAAAUUUUCAAAUGUUACCCUUUAUAGGUAACCCAAAUGAACAGAACUCUGAGUCUCCAAAUGUUACCCUUUAUGGGUAAUCCCGAUGAACAGAGCUCUGAGUCUCCAAAUGUUACCCUUUAUGGGUAAUCCUGAUGAACAGAGUCCUAAGUCUCCAAAUAUUACCCUUUAUGGGUAAUCCAAAUGAACAGAGCCGUAAGUCUCCAAAUGUUACCUUUAUGAAUAACCCAAAUGAACAGAGUCCUAAGUCUCCAAAUAUUAUCUUUUAUGGGUAACCGCUCUAGGAAAUAAGACACAUUUUAUCUGUCUCAGCGUCUACUGAAGACGUUGGGAUAAUUUUAAUAAUAUGGGUCUGACUGUCAAAAACCAUUUCAACCAAAAUUCUAUACUCCUUUACCUUUAAACGAAUUAAAGGAAGAUAACAAAAUCUAACCUAGUGAACAAUAUUAAAAAAACGCCUCCAUCCAACAUCCAAAUGGCAAACGAACCACAGAUCUGAUAAGCGGGUUGUAAGAUAAUUUCGGCGUCCUCUCUAAGUGGACGAUGAGAGACAAAUAUUACCCUAGAUGGGUAACACAAAAGAACAGGAGCCCUAAGUUUUCAAAAAUUUUAAAACUUGACGAGAAAAAAAAAUUAAAUCUCUACGAGAACGGCUCUGAUACCAUGUAGAAAGAUAAUACUUGUUGUUGUCUUUCACAACAGAGAUAAAAUUUAUGGAAUACAAGUUUUACAAAUAAGUGAAGAAUAGCUAUUACAUGCCAUAAAAUAGUUAUUCUGUUCCAUUCAAUGAACCAAUUGAAGUAUCAUUAAUGGAAGUCUAGCUGGAAUCAAAUUAGGAUCAACUUAAGGAAGUCUAAUCAAGAUAACUUGCGCUUAAAAGUACCUAGCUCUUAUCGAUUCAACACAUUUUUUAUCACAGUAAAAGCUGUACACCAUCUUACUUGCCAAAAGUUACAUUAUCAAUUGAUUCCUAACAACAAUGCAUUUCUCUUCCCUCUUGAAAGUUUAGCACACUAGAUACAAUCUCUAUAGUUUGUACCAUAUGAAAAUUGGAUCUAACAUCUUUUGGUUACCUUUAAUUCAUUCAAUUUUCGAAAACAUUGAAUCUUCUAUGGCUGAGGACGAUCCUUAGUUUUCAACUGUGACUUCACCUGCUGCUGGCACAUGUAUAAAAAUAUAUGCAUCAAAAACAAGAAGACAAACUUUUCCUUGUGAAGAGCAUUUAGUGUGAUGCUUACAUCUAACCAGUUAUCUUCUAUAACCUUUACCAUUAUGACAAAGUUGGGGCUGGGAGUUCAACGCAAAAUUGCUGAUGAUAAAAUAAGGUGGUCAGGUCAAGGAUUGGCUUUUGUCUGGGUGCUAUUGAGUAGUAAUGCGAGAUUAUGGUUAAUUGGAAUAAAUGGGUAUGGAUCCUCAUAUUAUUUUGAAUGGGGAUGGAAGAAACCCAAUCAUAAAGACCUAAAAUUUAUCCGUUUGGUUUACCAUUUAUUGCUGCACUUAUCCUAUUGCCGCUCUGGAAAAGCUUUUAUUUUUAUGCUAUUGUACUAGCCAAAUUGCUUGUCUCUGGUUUGUCCUGGAAAGAUUUGACUUUGUUCUAAUUGCCGUGGUCUUCCACAGCUGAUUAAGUUAUUUCUGUGCUGGACAAAAAUCAUAAUGCAGGAGAAAGGCAGACAGAAGGGUCCAGCUCAUAUUGAUGCUACUUCAUCUGAAAAUUAUUCUGUAGAAGGUCAUUAUGCCUCACAAUCAAUGGCUCCAGUGACUGGUUCAUCAUCUUCCCCUUCUGGGGGUCUUGCUUGUGCAAUAGCGGCCCUUGCUGAACGUCAGCAGAUGGGUGGGCAAUCUUUUCUUCAUAAUAAUAGAAACUUUUCUACGUGCAACAUGCUUCCAGGCAGCAGCAGCAGCUGUAGUCUUUACAGCAGGCCAGAUCAGAUUGCAGAGAAUUACUCCUCUGCACCGAGCUCCAGCAAUAUGUCACCGGAUUGCAGAAUGGACACGUCAAGGGAUGAUGGAGAAUGGGGUGCAGACCGAGGAUCAGAUGCUGCUGAAGCUGGGACUAGUUAUGCAAGCUCUGAUACUGCAGAAGAUGCUGGUGGAAUUUCUGUUUUAUUACCGCCGCCACCACCACCAGCAGAUGAAAAUGGGGUGCUAUUUCAGAAUAACUCUGGACCAAUUGUUCCUGAGAGUUUUGAAGAGCAGAUGAUGCUGGCCAUGGCUGUUUCUCUUGCUGAGGCUCAAGCUGUGACAAGUGGACUGGGAAAUGCGUGGCAAUAGUUUUCAAGGGUAGGUUACAGUUCCAAAAAAAUGAUGCCAGUUAUGGCUUUUCAGCUAGCUGAGUAUUGAGCUAGGACGAGCGCAAACUGUGCUGUUUGCACCUGACUAAGAGGUCAAGGUAGCGAUGAUUCUCUUCUUCUCUGCACGCUCUCUAUAUAUAUACUUGUUAAAAGGAAAAUGGAUUGUCUUAGUGCAUGAAACUUUGUUUGGGUAUGAAAUUCAUAAUGACUCUAGUUCUUUCUUUUCAUGGUUUAUAUAUUGUUUUUUAUUUUUAAGAAUGUUCAGAAAUCUUAAGAUAGCAAAACCAAUUUAUGAUGCUUUUAUAUUGUAAUAUGGGGCAUUUAUGCAGUGUAGUAGGCUGAAUUAGUAUGAAGUGAAGCAUCAUAUUAAGUAGUUUGAGAUAAAGGCUUAAUCAUUGUUGUUGUGGUUUAGUGGAACCUUCCACACCCAGUGAAUAGCAUAGCAUUAGUUGAGGUAAUUAAGAUGGUAAACAAAAAUGGGUUUCUGUUGUGUCUUCAUCUUUUAUCUAUAUCUGUUGCAUGCCUGGAAAUGUGACAUCGAGUCGUUGGCUCUUUUAUAUUCAACUGCAGCUAAUGACCAAUAAUGGUUGGGUAGCUGUGUUUAUUGGUUACAAGUAUAACCACAUUUUAUGCAAGUUUUAUAUGACAUAUAUGUGGAAUUUGACAGGGGUCAAUUCCGACUUCCGUUCCUCCAUCUUCUACCCAACUUUAAAAUAUAUAUAUACAUCGGUCAACCCCAUAUCUGAUUGACGGCCUUCGAGGUUCCAUUAUUAAAACAAGAAAAACAUGCAUUUUUUUCCCAAAAAAAAAAAGAAAGAACACUCUACUAAUUUCUAAAUGUAGCGAGAAUUUCACAAAAUCAUAAAUAAAAGUGAAAUUAAAUUUUUUUAUUAAAUAAAAAGUAAAAUUUUUAGUGUAGGUUAAUGUUGAUUCGUGAUAUUAUUUAUGUUUUAAUGAAAAAUAAUUUAAAUUAAUAAUGGUAAAAAAGGAUCCCAAUGAUUUAUUUAAUCUACAUAUUCAUAGUCCAUUGCAUUUUUUUUAAUCCUCAAUCUGAAAUUAAGAAUUUUAUAAAAAUUUAAUUUAAUUAAUUUUUAUUUUAAUAAAAAAUAUUUAUUUUUUAAAUUUUAUUAAGAUUUUUAUAUAUAAAUAUAUUUAAUUUUUAAAUUCAAAUUAAAUAAUAAAAAUAAAUUAUUUUACGAGAACAAACAAAAAAAUUUAACAUGCAUAAACGAAUUAAAAGGCUCAGUGGACUAAGAAAGAAACCUAACAGAGAAGUCAGCCCAAUCCGAACGGUCCAACCAAAAGUUGUUCAAAACACAUCCACCGCUAAUGUCUUAGUCACAACCGAAAAAAGGAGGAAAAGAAGAGGAAAGGAAGAGACCUAACGGAAAUAAAGUGAGAAAAAGCUUGAUGCAUGUUUAGAAAAGAAGAAAGGGUAUACAAUCACAAGGACAAAAUGAAGUUAAGAAGACCAAAAAUAUGCUACAAACAACCAAAAUCAGAUUCAAUCAACUGACUAUCAACAAUCCAUAAAUACAGAAGGAAGAAGCUGGAUUCUCCACUAACAGGACGACCACCACAGCAAGAUAGGAGACCUAGCGGUACAAUAUCAAAUUGUCAAACAUCAAGGCACGAGAAUUCUCUCUCAGAGUAGAUUCUGCAUGCCUUGCAAAACAAAACCCAUAAAAUCAUAAAUCAAAACGGUAAAACUAUCACAUAAAAACCAAACAUAAUAACGAAAUCACACAAAACAAAAAAAAUAAAAAUAAAAAUUAUGGAUAGAAAACCCGGAAAUCUCCCCUCUCGCUGGUCACAGAACUCUUGCAACUUUUCAAAUCGUUGGCUCUUUUUGAUAUAUCCCUCUUCUAAAAUAAACGAAAGAUUAUUUUUCGCUUCCACUUAUAAUCAUAUUUCAUAAUUUUUAUUAAAUAGUAAUUUUUUCGGUGUUCAUCAAAAUUUUAAACGUAAAGCUGAUAUUUAUUUAUGUUUGAUUCAUUAUGAAAUACGAAUUAAAUUCUUUUUUAGAUAUUUGUUCCGUAUAUAUAAAUAGACAUAAAAUUAUUUUACUUGAAAUUUUCAUAAUUUUAAAUAAUAUUUUGAUUUAAAAGUAAAAUUAUCCAUUCAAAUAAAAUAAAUUAAUUUUCAGAAUUAAAUAAUAUUUUUAGAGCUAAUAUUAUCAUUUAAAUAAUGCAAACAAUAUAUUUAACAAACAUAAUUAUAUUAUUUAAACCAAAUUAUUUUCUAAUUAUUUUAUAUAUUUACCAUAAAAAAAAUAUUUUAUUUAUUUAAUUGUCUGUGAUGAUGGCUUGUAUCAAUCACUGCUAUGCUAUUUUCAGUCAAUAUAUUUAGUACAUUAAUAAAUUUGUUAUCAUCUCCAAAAAAAAAACAUUAUUUUUUUCAUUAAUUGCAUCAACUUUAUAUUUAAAAAGAUAAAAAUUAUAGAAAUUAUGUAUCUAAAAUAUUUUUAUUUUAUAAACUCAUUAAAUAAUAUUUAUUAAAAAUUCACGAAAUUCAGUAAAAUAUUACAAUGAUUAAUUUUUUUAUAGUUUGAAAAUCUAAAUACAUCAUUUACUUUGAGGAAAUUAAUUGAGUUCUGGGAGAAAUUAUUAAAAUUUAUUAAUAAUUAGUGAAAUCCACAUUGUAUACUCAAUUUUGAAAAACUGAAUAAAUUGUGUUUUAUUUCAAAAAUAAAUUUAAUCAUUUUAUUACAUAUUAAUUUCUUAUUAUUUAAAUUGAAUAACUUUUUGUAAUCAAAUUUUAAACGAUUAACAUUUUGAUGUUAAAAAUUAAUUUUAUUUAAAAAUUUAAGAAUUAAAAUGUUAUUUAAAGUAAAAAUAUUAUAGAUUGAGUAUAUAAUGUUUUAAUUAUAGAAGUCUUAUAAAAAUAAAAAAUCAUAUUGUAAAUGUUUAAAAUAAAAAUAAGGUCCUUAAAUUUUCAAAAUUUUAGAAGGGUUAUUUUGUUAUUUUUAAAGAGAUCCUAAAUUGUUUCAAAAUUUCAAAAAAGGUCCUACUUUUUCGAGUUUCACGCUAUUGCCCCUGAUUUCUUAACCAUGAGUAGGAAUGUAAAUUGGUAACAUUCCCUUCAAAAUUAAAUUACUCAGAAUUUAUAUUAGUAAUAUUUAAAUAUGUUGUAAACUCAAUUAAAAAUUAAUAUUUUAAUUAAUAAUUUAUAUAAAAAAUACUUUUUAUUAAAAAAUUAAUAUUCUUAAAAAAUAUUUAAAUUUUAUUUUUUAAAUAACGACGACAUUUACCGAGUCAACUAAAUUAUUAUAUUUUACUAUAGCUUUUUUCAUAAAUAUAAUUAUUUAAAAUUAUAAAAUAAAUUAAAAAAUACAAAUUAAUUUUAAAAUUAAUAAAUAUAUUUUUUUAAAAAUUACUAUGAAAUUUCUAAAUUUUAACAAAAUUAAUUAUUUAGUUUUUAUAAUUAUUAAUUUCAAUUAAAAUAUCCCUUAUUUUUAAAAUAUAGCAAUUAAAUUUUUUUAUUAAAUAUUUUGUUAGUCUAUUAGUAAAAUCCUUAGUCAAAAGAGAGAAUAUUAGGAAAUGAUAAAAUUACCCUCGGUGAAAUUCAUUUAGCCUUUCCUCUUUUUUCAUUCCAUUUCUCUCUCUCUUCAAGCUCACCCAUCUAUAUCGCCUGGCCUGGCCCUGUCCUGUCCCGUUCCUCGCCGAGUUCUCCACCUCUCUAUUUGGUACAGCCGCGCGUGUUCCUCCUCUCUCUUCCUACCGAUUGGCCCUCUGCUAUUCACGGUGUCCACAUCAUUGCUGCGUCCACCGGUCCUUUUUGCUCUUCUCUGCCAUUUCCUUUAGUCCUCAUCGCUAGUAUUGCCAUGCUUUCUCUUGUCCUCGUUGCUGGUACUGCAAAUUAGUCGGCAAUCUCCCUCAUUUUUCACUCUCGGUCAAUAAAUCGUUUCCUUCCCAUCUCACUCUCAGUCAGUAAAUCGUCUCCCUCCCUUCUGAUUCUUAAUCGGCAAUUGCUGUUUUUGUUGAUCGAUGAUGUGUGAGUUUCUAAAUGCAAUGAGUGAUUUUUUUUUUAUUUUAGAUUAUUUUUGUGUAUUUGAAUUGAAAAAUAAAUAUGAGCAAAUAAAUUUUUUUAAUUUUAUACUGUAUUGAUGGAUUGUAUUUUAUAAAUUAAAAUUUUAUUAAUUCUUUGUAAGUUUUAUUAAUUUUAAAAAUUUUUUAUUAAAUGAAAUAUUGUGUUUAACUGUUUAUAAAACUUGAAAGAAUGAUUAUUAGAUGAUAAAAUAAAAAUUUAUAAAAGAGAAAAUAGAAAUAAAAUAAGACUAAAAUUAAUAGAGAAUUACACGUGUUUUGAUACUGAAUUAAAUUAGAGGAGAAGAGUCAUUUUAAAUAUUUUAUUAAAAAAUUAACGAAAACGCAUAGUAAUUUUUAAUAGAGAAAUCCAAUAAUUAUAUUUUAAAUUAUAAUAACAUUUUAAUUAAAAUUUAUAAUUAUAAAAAUUAAAUAAUUAAUAUUAUUAAAAUUUAAGGACGACAGUCAUUUUCUCCUGUCUUUUUAACGUACUAAACGGGCAUGGUGAGAAACUGAGAAUUGAUAUAUCAAUCAUUUUCUUUUCUAAAUGGUCCGUUUAAAAUUUCCACGAGCUUGUCAAAGGCCUUGCUGGCAACAUGGGCACCCUACGUUAUGGAGAUAUUUCAAUGAAAGAUACAACUGAAUGAAUUUUGCCUAUAAAUGUUUUACAUAUAAUUUUAAUUUUAAUAAAUUCAAAUAAAGUUAUUUUUCUUUUUAUUUAUCAUAUUAUUGAUUUUUCAUUUCUAAAUAAUUUAUGAAUUUGCUUUUAAUAAUAAAUAUAAUUUACUCAGUUUAUUAAUGAAUAAAUGAAUAAAAUUUAUAUUUCAAAAAAGUAUAUAUUAAUAUUUAUUUAUACUCAAAGUUAAUAUUAAACCAAUCUCACAGAUUUAAGAAUUAAUUUUUCAACUUAUCAAAAAAAAAAAAAAACACAUUAUUGAAAGUAUUGGUCCAAAUUCUGAAAGCAACAGGAAUGGAAUAUUCCAGAAAUGUGAACCCAGAAUAAAGCAAAAAAUUGAGAAGAUUUAUUUUAUUACUCCAUCUAAUAAAAAAAUAUUUAUAAUUCAUUUUAUUUAAUAUAAUUAAAACAAUAAAUCUCUUUACUAAUAUUAUUUUACAUUUUAUCACUAAAAUAUUUUUUAAAAUUAAUAAAUUUUAUAUAAUUCAUUUAAAAUAAAUAAAAAAAUAUUUUGUUGGAAAUGAGAUUACUGGAUUUUUGUUUAUUUGUUUUCGACUGUAAUUCACUCAAAUUGUAUAUAUAAUCAUUUAAGAAAAAUGAAAAAUAAAAAUCGGCUAUAUAAAUACAAACCCACCGCAUCCAUUCGCGUUGCAUCUGAAUUCACGAUACGCCGACACAAGCAGAGUCCAGUCUCAGUGAUAGUGUAGCUAAGACGAGCAGAAAUGGCUGAUGAAUUGAUUCUCUUGGAUUUCUGGCCAAGUCCUUUUGGGAUGAGAGUCAGAAUAGCAUUGGCUGAGAAGGGUGUCAAAUAUGAGUACAGAGACGAGGACUUGAGGAACAAGAGCCCUCUUCUUUUGCAGAUGAACCCAAUCCACAAGAAGAUUCCUGUUCUCAUCCACAAAGGAAAAUCCAUCUGUGAGUCCCUUAUUGCUGUCCAGUAUGUUGAUGAAGCGUGGCACGAUAAGUCUCCUCUCUUGCCCUCCGAUCCUUACCAGAGAGCCCAGGCUAGGUUCUGGGCUGAUUUUGUCGACAAGAAGGUAUAUAUAUUUAUGAAUUUGCUUUCUUUUGCCCUAAAAGAGGGAUGAAAUUUUCUUUUCGUGGAAAUGUUUUGCAGUUAAUAACAAAAAUUUUCUGCUAAGCAUUUUUGUGGGCCUGUAGAAUCAAUCAGCAAAACUUGUUUUUUUGCUAUAAUAUGUAUGGAUCUGUUUUGUUUGGGAAAUUGGAGUUAUCACUCUUCAUGUUUGCACCAUUUUUGUCUGUGUUUUGUUUGGUUGAGGAUGGGAAUUAUGCACUUUUGUUGAGAAGACGUAAAAGUUAGAGUUGAAUUAUGUAUUUAGGUAUUAAAGAUAUAUGAUUGUCUAGUGAGAAAAUAGUGUUAGUUACCAUAUGUAAAGGGUUUGUUGAUCAUUGUAAAAUGUAAUUCAUGAGCUAUUUAGCUAAUCCACUGAUGAUAUGCAAUGCAGAUAUAUGAUAUUGGGAGGAAGGUAUGGACUACAAAAGGAGAAGAGCAGGAGGCAGCCAAGAAAGAAUUCAUCGAGGCCCUUAAGUUGUUGGAAGGUGAGCUUGGAAACAAGCCUUAUUUUGGUGGGGAAAACAUUGGAUAUGUGGAUGUUGCAUUGGUACCAUUUUAUUCUUGGUUUUAUGCCUAUGAAACCUUUGGAAACUUCAGCAUAGAGGCUGAAUGUCCUGUGCUGAUAGCUUGGGCUAAGAGGUGCCUGCAGAAAGAGUCUAUAUCUAAGGCCCUUCCUGACCCAAAAAUGGUCUAUGACUUUAUCCUGAUGCUGAAACAGAAAUUAGGCAUAUAGUUUCCAGUUUCUAUGUUGAGUGUGCUUUGUUUAUUUAAAUAAUUGGCAAAGUGUAGCUUAGCUGUGCCUUUGCUUGGUGUUUAGGGUGAAAGGAAUCAUGCUUGUCCGGUUAAGAGGGUCACUUAGUUGUGCCUUGUAUUCUGCAAGUUUCUUUAUUUCCAUAUAAGGUAUUGUGGGGAAUUUGCAUUUUCUUGCUCCUCCUCUUCUCAGCAAAUUGUGGUGUUUUUCUUUAGCACAAAAAUAUGGGAUAUUUGAAAAAGAUUCAUGAUAGCAUGUGAGCCUAUUAUAUUCAUCAGAAAGUUAAUGAAAUUAAAAAUUGUACAAAUUGAAAAGUCUGCCUUGUGUUAGGUUCUUAUGACAGUUGAGAUUAAACCUAUUAUAAUAAAAAAAAUUUACCAUACAAAAAUUUAAUAUUCAAUAGUUAGUUUGUGGAUUUUGAAAAAUACAUCAACCACUUUAAAAGUGUGGAAUACAUUAGACCGACUUGAAUUUAUGGUAUAUCGUUUUAAAAUUAUUUAAUUUAUAAAAAUAUAAUAAAGGUUAAAUUAUUAGAAUAAUAUUAAAAUAUCAGUUUCUUAUUAUUUUUAUAUUUAAAUUAUUAUAAUUAGUUUUAUAUUAUAAUUUAAAUUCAUAAUAUAUAUAAAUAAAUAAAUAAAAUGUACAAAUAUUAUAACGAAUUAAAAAAUGUACAACGCAGUUAAAUCAUCAAUAUUUUUAAAAAAUUUAUAAUUAAUUAUGUAUUUAAUUUUAGUUAUUAAAUAUUUUAUUAUUUAGUAAAAAAUUAUAAAUUUAUUUUUUAAGUAUUAAAUAUUUUAAUAUUUAAUAUUUGUAAUAAGGGAAAAUUUAUUAAUUUUAUAAAAAUAUUUAUUAAUUAAAAUUUCGUAAUAAAAAAAUUUUAUAUUUUUUAUAAUAUUUUAAAAUUUUAAUAAUAUUUUAAUAUAUUUUUAAAAUUAAAGAAUGAAUUAAUAAUUUUUUUAUAAUAAAAGACUAAAUAAUAAUUUCAAGAUAAUAAAAAUUUAUUUGGCUAGCCUAUAGCAUAAGAAAUGGCAACCAGAUGAAUUUGAGGCGAGGAUCACUCGUCUAUCCCUAACCAAAUGAGAUUGUGGUCAAACGGAGAGUUACUCUCUGACAAGAUAUGGAUUUCUCUAAAAAGUUUUUUUUUUUUUCAAAAAGAAUAAAUAUAUAAUUUUUAAAUGUAAAGUUAUCUAUAAAAAGCUUAUUAAGGUAUAAAAAUAAGUUUAAAUAAAAUUAUAAUAUUUGAAAAAAACAAAUUAUGACAUAGACAUGGGCUGGGAAUUGAGGCCCCACCACACGACUCAAAAUCGAAUCGGUGCAGAAUUGAGAAAAAGGAACCGAGUUCGGAUGGGACCAGACGAGUCAUCUCUAUGGAAUGAUCUGAAUCAUGAUAAUCGGAUCAAUGGAUUUUGGGUUUGAUCAGUAUCUUUAAGUCACCAUCAAAUAAAUUUCAUUUUAAAAAAUAAAUAAAAUUUAAAUAAAUGAAUAUUAUAAAAAAAAUUAAAUAAAAUCUAAUAUCAUGUGUGUUGAGCGAAUGAGUACAAACAAAAUUUUCUUACUGCGAACCAACAUGAUACGAUUGUUUCAUAUGAAUUAUCUUAGAUUUAUGCACAAAAAUUAAAGGCAAAACUGAUAGAAAAUGAUUUAGGACGAGCUGUUGGGUCUCUCAUGCACUUAGAUAUGUGUGACCUUGCCUUGACAAGUAAUGGCAGUGAAUGCUUCUCAUCUACCCCACCUACUCCAUUAAUAACCUCUCUCUCCUCGUUAUCUUCUUUACUUAGCUGCCCUCUACUCAUCUGCAUCACUUUUCCCAGAGAACAUACUAGAGACAUGGAUAAAGGCGACAAACUAGGAGUUGGAGACAGCAACUCGCCCAUGGGGAUGAUAGGUUCCACCACAGAUGACCGUGAGGAACCAACAAGUCCCUUGCGCACGGUUGAGACUAUUCUCCGUCUCGUUCCAAUGGCUCUCUGUAUCUCAGCUCUCGUCCUCAUGCUCAAGAAUUCUCAGACCAACGACUACGGCUCUCUCUCUUACUCUGAUCUCGGCGCUUUCAGGUUUUUCAUCACCACCUCUCUCUCUCAUGGGUGAAUAUUGAAUAAUCCAAUAAUUAAUGCAGGUAUUUGGUGCAUGCCAAUGGCGUCUGUGCUGGUUAUUCCCUUCUGUCGGCUGUCAUCGUAGCCAUGCCUCGACCAUCCACCAUGUCCAAAGCCUGGACCUUCUUCUUCCUCGAUCAGGUUAUAGCUACUUCUAUAUCAGAAGCUUUGCUUAAAACCCUUUACGUAAUAUAAAUAUUUAAUUGAAUUUGCAUGUGUAGGUGUUAACGUACAUAAUUCUGGCGGCGGCGGCGGUAUCGGUGGAGGUGAUUUACCUGGCGAGGAAGGGAGACACGGCCAUCACUUGGAGUGCAGCUUGUGUAUCGUUUGGAGGAUUCUGUCACAAAGCCACAACUUCUACAGUGAUUACAUUUGUUGUAGUAGCUUUCUAUAUACUGCUUUCACUCGUCUCCUCCUACAAACUUUUCAGUAAGUUUAGUGCACCAGCUGUGAGCUUCUCCGGCAAAGGCAUCGAGAUCUCCGGCUUCCAAGGCUAAUUAUAUAUGUUCAACCUUGUAACUUGUUCAAUUUCACCUCCGGCCACCACCAGCUGUGUGGCUGGAUCUACAUAUGGUCAAUAAUAAUUGUUGUUUUGCUUUUAUGUGGUCUUUGGAGUUUCUUGUGCUUAUACGUAUAUGGACUUUGCAAUUAAUCUGCCAAAUAAGAAGCUUCAAAUAUGUAAAUUACAGUCUUUUUUUUGAAUUAUCAAUUAAAGAAGAGAAUUGGAAUGGAGAAAAACUGAAUUUCUGUAAUUUUGUUUAUUUGCACAGUAAAUAUAUGUGGGAACAAAAGGAAUAGUUGAGAAGAGAGAAUAUAAGAAGAGAUUUUAUUUUUGGAAUUUCAAAAUACAGAAAAUCGAGUAAUUUUAUUAUAGAAAUUUUAUAGUUUUCAUUAUAAUAAGGUAUUUAAAUAAUAGAAAAUUUUUAAUUUUAAUUUUAAUUUUUUUAAUUUCUCAUAAUGUCCUAAUUAUACUGUUAUUGUCCUAGCAAAGAGUAAUAAAAUUACAAUAUAUCUAACUCAAUUAAUUAAAUGGUUGGCAAUAACUAAUUUUUAACCAACUUUCCUGGCUUUUCUCUCGUCAUAUCUAUAGAAGUCUGUUUAGAGAAUUGAGAAGUUUUUUCUUUCUUUGCUGUAUUGAUAUUGUUUUUAUAAUAGAUUACAAAUUUAUCUUAGUAGUUACCGGUGAUAAUUAUAAAAUUAAUAUUUACAACUUGUAAUCUUUAUCACGUUCUUUCAAUUUAAGUGAAACUCUUUCUUUUGAAUUUUGUCACGAACAAAAUGAAAAUCAACUUUAAAAUGCUUUGUGCGUGCAUAAAAAAUCAGGUUAACCGAUAAAUAUGUAACACCAAUGUUAUCACAUCAUAAAUUAGGUGUAUGUGCAGAAUAGAAACUGAUACAUCAUAAAUUAGGUGUAUGUGCAGAAUAGAAACUGAUAUCACGCAAAAGUGUUUGUACCCAUGUCAAUUCCGUAGUGACAAGUCCAAUGGCUCUAUACUCGCUUCACUGGAUGAACGAGCAACUGUUUAUUGCUUUUUGGAAUUCCACAAAAUAAGAUUUGGAUCCAUAAAGAUCGCAUAGCCAGUAGUGGAUUUUCUGUCAUCAAUAUUGGAUUUUCUGUCAAUCAGCAUCAGUAUAGACAUUUAACUUAGUCCGAUGCAACUUUUGAAUUAAAAGUCCAAAACUCAUUAUGCCCUUCAAGUAUCUCAAUAUUCGCUUUACUGAACUCCAGUUAUCUUUCGUGGGAGCUUGAAGAAAUUGAGAAGCUUUAUGGACAAAAAAAUAAACCUCUGGUCUAGUUAAGCUGAUAUACUGAAAUCCACCAACGAUGCUACGAUAUAACGUAGGAUCAGAAAAUAAGGAGCUUCCAUUAGAUGGCAAUUUUUCUCUCGAAUCGGCUGGCGUAGAGAUUCCUUUGCAUUUGACCAUUCUAGCUUUUUAUAGCAAGUCUAAUAUAUAUUUGUGUUGUGUGAGAAGAAGACCAUCAUCUAGCUAAUUGGCCUCCAUACCAAGAAAAUACUCUAACCUGCCAAGAUCCUUUAGCAUGAAAACCGUUUGUAAGGACGAGAUUAUUUGUUGUAUGACAGUGGAGCUAGAACCUGUCAAAAUUAUAUCAUCAACGUACACUAAAGCAAAAAGUGUAACGUUAUUCUUGACAUAAGGAAACAAUGACGAGUCUGCAGGCGAGACUCGAAAACUAAUAGCAAUUAAGGCAGAAUGAAACUUUUUGUACCACUAGCGCGGUGCUUGAUGAAGGCCAUAGAGAGAAUGCCCAAGUCGACAAACAUGAUCUGGUUUUAUUCGUUAGAAACAUCUAACUUUUUUAUUAUCCAAUCAUAAGAGACUGAGAGAAAGUCUCAAAAUAAUCAAUACCAACGCUGAUGAAACCCUUUUGCUACUAGCCUCGCUUUGUAGCGGUGAAUACUCCCAUCGACUCUCUGUUUAGCUCGAAAAACCUACUUGCAACCCACAAUAUUUUGUGCAGUACUUGGAGGAACCAAUUCCCAUGUACCUGUCUGAAUCAGGACAUUAAAUUCCUGAAUCAUAGCAUCUCGCCAAUUAGAGCUUUUAAUAGCCUGCGUAUAACAAGCGGGAACUAAUGUGGAGACUGUAGCAUUAUGAGAUUGGGGAUACCAAGGAAUCUUUGACUUUAAUGUACCAGUCUGUUGCCGUGUAACUAUAGAGUGAGUUUUUAUAGUUGGCAACACAUUCUCAAGAGCAGACGUUAAUGGCGGUGUAUGAGCAGGUGCAGAUAUGGUUUCUGGGUUUGGUUCUUCGUGUUGAAGUGAAGAAGAUGAAGUGGAGUGAUGGGGUGCGAAGGUAUUAAUGAAACGGUGUGUAGAGGUUCUUGGGUGGUAGGUUCGGUUAGGCUAGCAGCUUGGUUUGGCGAGUCAGUUUGCGUUUCAUUUAAUGAAACGGUGUGGAUGGGAGAGGCACAGUCUGCUAGGCUUCGGCUUGGUUGUGGGCCAGUGGAGGCUGAUUGUGUUGAGGUUGCGUUUUGUGUGGUAUGCGUAUGAUGUGAGCUGCAUUUUGGAGAGGAUCCUAAAAUCCCAGCAGUUUGUUGAAUAGGUACAAGCGGUAAUGAGAUUGUAUCAUCUAGCUUCUGAUAGGCAAACACCUGCUCAAAAAACAUAAGAUAUGGCAUGAGAUGAGAGUUCAAGACAAGUAUAGCUUUUGUGAAUUUUGCUGUAUCCCCAAAAGAUUGGAGCUAAUUUAUAAGGAGAAUACGGUUUUUGGAUGAUAUACGAUUUUAGCCAUGAAUGAUCCAAACACAUGUAAUUCAUCAUACUUUGAUUUUUCCAAAAAUCAAAACUCUUAAGGUAUUUGAUUUUGAACAUUUGAAAAUGGCACAUGAUUAAUGAUAAAUGCAGCCGUAUUAAAGUCAUAUGAAAGAAUUUAAUAGAUGUAUUAUUUUGUGAGAUAAAAGCGAGACAUAUAACAAAUUAUUAGUGAUAGAUGGAGAAUAAAGAACAUUAUCAAAUAUGAAAGAAUAACCAUUAACAUGAGCAAUAGAAGAACCACAGAGAGAAUUGGAAGAGUGGGUUUUACUGUCGGCAAUAGUGAGCGCAUUAUUAUCAUACACAGUCCACCGUCCAGUUUUGUGGUUGAUCAAGUUCGGCUUUGACAACAUUGGCUUGGGGGAGGUUCUAGGUGAGGGACAUCGUCUUGUCAUAUGGCCACUGCCAUUACAAUUGUAACAUACCAGUCGACUACUUCAAUUUGCAUUAUAAUUGAUUCGACUAGAAUUGUAAAAAUUAUCCUAAGAAUUUCCAUAACCAUGAGAAUUUCCAUAACCACGUCCUUGAUUUCCUCGGCCAAGUCUGCCACGGCCUCCACGAUCAGAGCCCAGUCCACGACUUGAAUUUGCAUUAUAAUUGAUUCGACCAGAAUGGUAAAAAUUAUCCUAAGAAUUUCCAUAACCACGUCCUUGAUUUCCUCGGCCACGUCUGCCACGGCCUCCACGACCAAAGUUUCCACGCCCACCACGACUAGUAUUGAUGUAGUGAGCAGUGGGUGGAACUGAAGAUGCGAUCUGCAUGGAAUCACAUUUGAGUUGAAUUUCUUUACUCAAGAGAAGAGCAUAUAGCUCAUCAAAACCAACAGGAGAAUUACACGCUUCUAUGGCUCGUUUAAAGGGACGAUAUUCAGCACCAAGUCCCUCAAGAACAUAAAAAACCAGAGCAUCUUCAGGAAUAGAGGCGUCUAAUACACCAAGUUGAUCAUUCAGUGAACGGGCCUUACGCAUAUAGGCAUCGAUACUGUCAGUCCCGUGUGACAGAUACUUUAACUGUUUUCUUAAUUGUUGGACCUGUGUUUUUGCAGCAGUAGAAUAGAUCACAGCUAAUUUAUCCCAUGCUUCUUUGGCUGUUUUGCACCUUAUAAUUUGAUGCAUAAUUGUCUCUGAAACAAAACCGUUUAUCCAACUCCUAAUGAUUUGAUCUUGUGCAAACCAAUUAAGGUAUUUUGGAUUAGGUUCACCAAUUGCUAAGGUUUUUGAAGGAGCGCUUCCCACAGCAUAUAAUUUGCAGAAGUUAGCUUGAUUGAAAGAAUUUGGGUGACAUUGGAUACUUGAAUGGAAGAAAUAGAGGGUACUGGAGGAACAAGAGAUUGUUCUGUGCCCAUCGUUUUCGAAUAAUGACGAAUGAAAAAUGAAAACGAAUAGUGAGAAACGAAAAUAAUAGAUUACAGACUUAUCUUUAACAUACAAGUAGUUAGAAGUGAUAAUUACAAAAUUAAUAUUUACAGCUUGUAAUCCUCAUCAAUAUCAUUUCCAUAUUAAAAGUUUAGCUUUUCAAUUAAUUGUGUAUAUUUUUUUUCUUUUGUGGUUGUUUAUCAACUUAUCUGUGCAGAUUUAAUUAAUAUUUUAAAUGUGAAAGGUUCAGUGGAUAGUUUUUUAUUAAUGUGUUGUAAUAUGAUGGGUUCUCUAAACCGUGAAAACCAUUUAAAUUGAGGCGUUGAAUUUGCAGUUCAAAAGUGAAUGCAAUCAAUGAAUAGGAGAUUUCACUGUUCUAAAAAUGGUUUCCAUAUUAUUUAAUUUCCCUUAUUGUAAUGGAAGAAAUCAUAUUAGAACUAUUCUCACAAGUAAAAUUAUUUGAAAGAUAGAUUGGAACAUUGUAUAUUUAGUUUUUCUCCAUUCUGGAAGUUUUUAAAUUCUUUUACUGCAUUAUGCAACAAUGUAAUGCAUUUCUUUGCCCUACAAAAAAGAGUGAAUAAAUUAUUAUUAAUUAAAAAGUUAUUUAUAAUUUAAAACAGAUUAAAAAGAAAAACAUACCUGUUCUGUGGGGGAGUAUGAUUUUGAUUUAAAUCAAAAUGGGGAAAAAGUACAAGGAAAUGUAAAACAAUGAAUAUAGUAUUAAUUAAGGAAAUGUUUAAAAUCCAAGAAAACCUGUAAAGCCUUAUCACAUCUAUGGAAGAAUUUAACCGGCACAGAGCAGCCACACAAAUUCCCAAUUUUAGCUUUUUCCAUCACCACAAAAUAUAUUUCCCUCUGCCUUCCAAUCACAAAGCCUCUCGUCUCUCCUUUCUCUGACAAUUCCCAAACUUUGCAUGAGAAGAGAGGUAAGUGCUAUUACCAUCCCUAUUUGUUUCAAUUGAUUUGUUGAAUUCUCAGUAUUCUUUUAAAUUUUCUACUUAGAGAACUAUUCUGAUGGGUUCCAUGGUGGUUCUUGUAGGAAGCAUGCCGUCCCUGGCUUCCUUGAUUAGCUUAGGGAGCUUUAGUGUGACGGCAGCCAUCACUAGUUCAUCGGAAUCUUCUCCUUCUCCUUCUUAUUCUUCAUUUGUUCGGAGAGUUUCUCUAGCUAAAAGGAGUUUUAGGAGUGCCAAGAGAUGGCACUGUGUUUGUAGAUAUUCAGUCACUACCCCAGAUUUCAUUGCUGAACAAGGCAAUGCUGUGUCUCUUGAUUCUAACAAUUCAUUUAGAGCAAGCAAUAAUGGUGAUGUUGAUAACGAAAUCGUACUUAAGCCUGCGCCUAAGCCUGUGUUGAAAUCUGCUUCUUUAGGCUCUAAGGGUGAAUCCCUUUUAGGUGUGAGCUCUAUUGAGUUGGACCCUUCGAGUGAUUCUGAUGAUGAACGGGAGAGGAAUGAGGUGAUUGAGUCUCUUGGUGAGGCGUUGCAGAAGGCCGAAAAGCUUGAAAAUUCUAAGCCGAGUCUUAGCACUACUAGGAAAGAUAAUGGAAAUGUAAAUAAACCGACACCAUCUAACAUGGGUGUAAAUUCCAGAGUUGCUAAAUCUGGGAACCUUGCUGCAACUGGCAAAACUAAAACUUCGAAGAGUGUGUGGCGGAAAGGGGACACUGUGGUAAGUGUGCAAAAAGUCGUGAAGGAAGCUCCUAAGACUAAUAAUAAGCUUGUGAAAGAAAAGGAAAACAUAACAAGGGAAGGAACAAAGCUAGAAUCUCAACCUAGUGUUCCUUUAAGGCCCGUGCAGCCUCCCCUGAGACCUCAGCCCAAAUUACAGGCUAAGCCAUCUGUAGCUCCUCCUCCUAUGAUGAAAAAGCCUGUUAUCCUGAAGGAUGUGGGAGCAGCUCCAAAGCCACCAGUUGGUGAUAAAGCUGAUUUGGGUGCUACAAAAAGUACUGGAAGGCAGCCAAUUUUAGUUGACAAAUUCGCCCGUAAAAAACCUGUUGUUGAUCCUCUAAUUGCUCAAGCAGUUUUAGCCCCCACAAAACCAGGAAAGGCCCCUGCCUCUGGAAAGUUCAAAGACCGAAAGAAAAGUGUUUCUCCUGGAGGACCACGGAGACGAAUUGUUGAUGAUGAUGAUGUUGAGAUUCCUGAUGAAGAAACAUCAGAGCUAAAUGUCCCUAUUCCAGGUGCAGCUACUGCGAGGAAAGGGAGGAAAUGGAGUAAAGCUAGCCGGAAAGCAGCUAGACUCCAGGCUGCCAAAGAGGCAGCUCCUGUCAAAGUAGAAAUUUUAGAAGUUGGGGAAAAAGGUAUGUUGAUUGAGGAGUUAGCCUACAAUUUGGCCAUUAGUGAAGGUGAAAUUCUUGGUUAUCUCUACUCAAAGGGGAUUAGACCUGAUGGGGUGCAAACACUGGACAAGGACAUGGUAAAGAUGGUGUGCAAGGAGUAUGAUGUAGAGGUCAUAGAAGCUGAUCCUGUUAGAUUUGAAGAAAUGGCAAGAAAAAGGGAAAUUCUUGAUGAAGAUGAUCUGGACAAACUGGAAGAGAGGCCCCCUGUCCUCACUAUAAUGGGGCAUGUGGAUCAUGGCAAGGUGGAGCAUUAGCAUUCUCUAUCUUCUUUUUCUUCAUUCUUGGUAGAUUUGAAUUUGAAAGGAAAGUUUUAAAUCUUGGAAACACUUUGCUAAUACCUGUUUGAUGUUUAUUUGUAUGGCAGACAACCCUGUUGGAUUACCUUCGUAAAAGCAGGGUAUGUGGAAAACUUCAUCAUAUUGAUAUUACUUUUUUAUUUGUGUUCCUCUCGAUGCCUAUGAAUAAAUUUGAACUUCUAAUUUUUCUAGGCUAUUCUUCUGUUCCUAUUUAAUUAAAUACUGUAAAAAGUCUCGUCACUUAAUCUUGAGAUUGAUAUUGGGUUAAUUGAUUUAUGAAGCUAUUUGUGGUCAGUUCUAGCAUGAUAUACAGAUAAUUUAACUGAAUCCUGAUGGCUAAAUAUUUACAGGUGGCUUCCUCAGAGGCUGGUGGGAUUACACAAGGAAUUGGAGCAUAUAAAGUUUUGAUACCAGUUGAUGGGAAGUUGCAACCUUGUGUUUUCCUUGAUACUCCUGGGCAUGAGGUAGGGUUUUGUGAAAUGGGUAAAGGCUUGAUAGAUUAUAUAUAGUGUGCAUUAAUAUUUGUUUAAGCAACUGAUUUCUAAUGCAUUUCGUAAACUCAACUGUGUGCUGUGAUGUGUUUGUACUUCCUUGCCUUUAGAUGAUAUCAAUAUUAUCUGCUCCUGUAGGCAUUUGGAGCAAUGAGAGCUCGAGGAGCAAGGGUGACAGAUAUUGCAAUUAUUGUGGUAGCUGCUGAUGAUGGUAUUCGCCCUCAGACAAAUGAGGCCAUAGCUCAUGCCAAAGCAGCUGGAGUUCCAAUUGUAAUUGCUAUAAAUAAGGUGUGUCAACUGCAAUGGCUUUUCUAUUUCUCAAAAUUGAGCUUGUUGCACUUGAAUCUUGAAAAUGCAAAUGGUUUUCAUUGGAUUCGCUGAUUCUCCAUAGACAUGAUAUCUUCUUCCUUUUCUUUUUCCAUCAGAUAGAUAAAGAUGGAGCAAAUCCAGAAAGAGUCAUGCAAGACCUUUCUUCAAUUGGUCUCAUGCCAGAAGACUGGGGUGGUGAUGUCCCAAUGGUUCAGGUGUUUUUUUUAAUCUUUUUAACUUUAUUGCAUCUAUCUUUUUUGCUUUAUACUUUUUGCUUGAUGCUUAUAUUCUGCUACCUCCUCUUAACAGAUCAGUGCUCUCAAGGGGGAUAACAUAGAUGAUUUGUUAGAAACUGUUAUGCUUGUUGCUGAGGUCAGUUAAUUUUAAUUGGUUGCCAGCUAGUUGGUAUUGGUGUUUUUCUUGCAAUUUGCAACAAUAUAAAGUUCUCGUAUGCUUGGUGUUUCAUUGUGAGAUUUGGUUUCUUAGACUUAAUUUGAUGGUUGUGACAUCUCUUUUGCAUCCAUACCGUCCAUGCUGAUCCCUUCAGCAGGACAGUAUAUGUAGGGAUGUUACAAGGCUUUGGAAUUCAAAUGCAUCUGAUUCAAUGAGUAGAGCAGCAAAAAGACAACCAGAAAUAUAUUUACGGACAGAAUUAUUUAGUUGGAGCUACUAACUUCCUAGACAUAUGCAGCAAUACCUAUAGAUACUGUAGGAGUCUAAGCAAUCAUCUCUGAAAAAGAUUACCAAGAUUUAAAAGGAUGCAGCGUGUAUCCAAAUAUUUGCACAUAGAAACAGUGAAAUUGAUGCUUGUUCUGAUGCUAUGGCUAAUAUAGAAGUGAACUCACCAUUGGGUUGUCAUUGUUUUAGUUCCCAGUGCAAAGUCUUUUUUUAUAUGUUUUUUAAUUAUUUUUAUUUUUUAAUUUUAUGAUCUUUGUGGAGAGAGAGUGCCAUGUCCUGGAAAUGAUUUAGUGUAGUGUAUUGUUUCUUAUUAGCUAUUCACCAUCUUUGUCUUCUGACCCUGAUUGUUUCAGUUGCAAGAGUUGAAGGCUAAUCCUCAUAGAAAUGCAAAGGGUACUGUUAUUGAGGCAGGUCUUCAUAAAUCUAAAGGACCGGUAGCUACAUUUAUUGUGCAGAAUGGCACGCUUAAAAGAGGGGAUAUAGUGGUUUGUGGAGAAGCUUUUGGCAAGGUUGGUUUGUAGGCUUGAAACUUCAGUCACUUCCUUUACAUCUUAAAACGAUUAAAUGCUUAAUUUUGAAAGCUAACCCAUCUUGGAGAAUUUAUGCUCCUUGUCAGGUGCGAGCUUUAUUUGAUGAUAGUGGAAACCGAGUUGAUGAAGCUGAACCAUCUAUUCCUGUACAGGUUGGUUUAUUUAUUUUCUAUGUGCAUUUUUAUUUCCAUACUUUCUGCAUCACUGUACUCACUCAUGAGUGGUAGCUUACUAGCUUGUUUGUAGGAGAUCUUCUUCAGUAGGAUAUAAUGAUCUAGUCAGUACAUUGCUAUGUUGAUAAUGCUAAAAUGAAGUAAUCAGAAAUCUAGUUAUGCACUUCUCUUCAAAAAUGGUCCUCUCUAGUUUGGAAAAAUUGAACAUUAUUAAGAUUCCAGAAGGGGUUUCAUGCUCCGUUGCAACUGUGAUCAUACCCAUCCCAAUCAUCCUUUUUUUUAUUGUUCUUUUUACUCCAUCAUGUGUGAUAGUCUGACUUGCUAAAUUUUCGUAAUAGAUCUGCCAGCUUCUCUUUAUCUUUUGUCACUUUAAUGUUUCUGUGGUUUUUGGGUAUUAGUUUUUAUCCCUUGAUAUGAUUUAUUAUAUUCAGUGAAAAAAUCCUGUAAAAUGGUUCUCUAUUCAGUAGCAUGCGAAAUAUGCUAAAAUUUGAAAUUGAGAAAAGUGUAUGAUGUAUUGGAGUUAUUUUCAUUGUUUUCAAAUCAGUUGACUUAUGUAGCUAUUCCUAUUCCUAAUUUACCUUAAAAAUAUCUUGCACUCUUGUCUAUAGGUUAUUGGAUUGAAUAAUGUGCCAAUUGCUGGUGAUGAAUUUGAAGUUGUUGCCUCCCUUGAUAUUGCACGGGAAAAGGCUGAGGCACGUGCAGAAUUAUUGCGUGAUGAGCGGAUAUCAGCCAAGGCUGGGGAUGGAAAAGUUACACUUUCUUCUUUAGCGUCGGCUGUUUCAUCAGGAAAGCUGUCUGGUCUAGACUUGCACCAGCUAAAUAUUAUAAUGAAAGUUGAUGUUCAGGUAUACAAGUUCUACUAAAAAAUAGCAACCCUCAUGACGAUUUCUUGUUCAUCAUUCUGUGAGUUUGAAAACGUGACAUCUUGGAAACAUGGUUUGGCUUUUCUGCUCGUGCUUGCUUUUAGUUCCUGCUAUGUAUGGGAUCCAUCAAAAACCCUGAUUGUGUUGCACUUACUUUUUAGCAAAAUGUAUUGAAUUGAUCAUCAAGUAAUACUAUCUAGGAAGAAACUAAGAACUUCAUGGUUAUGACUAGGGAUCAAUUGAAGCUGUCAGACAAGCCUUACAAGUGCUCCCCCAGGAUAAUGUCACCUUGAAGUUCCUUUUGCAAGCAACAGGAGAUGUUAGCACCAGUGAUGUUGAUCUUGCCAUUGCUAGUGAAGCUAUUAUUUUAGGAUUUAAUGUCAAAGCGCCAGGUUCUGUCAAGAGCUAUGCAGAAAACAAAGGUGUUGAGAUUCGGUUAUAUAGAGUUAUCUAUGAUCUCAUUGAUGAUGUACGAAAUGCAAUGGAAGGACUUCUGGAACCUGUUGAGGUUAAUUCAAGACCUUUAUUUUCGACAUCCUUAUUUUUCUUUUUAAUAUUCUUGGGCAGCCUUUGAUUAUAUUAUGCAGAUUUAAUGAAUAUCUUCUUCUAUAACAUAGGACAGGUCAACGGUUUGGAUAUUAGUUACAAUGUAGGUGUGAAACUGUUUAGCUUUAACGUUUGUGGAAGAUUUUGCAAAUUAUGUCUCCCUGACGUGUUUUGGGUUGGUCGGUUGUUUAGAUGGGAGCGAACCAAAGUAGUGCUUCUGGUACCUUCCACAUGUGAAGACUUAGAACCUAUUUGCUGACUUGGGAGCCAAUCAGUUUGCUGUUUUUCUUUCUUUUUCUUUUUUCCCAUCCCUUGUUUGGACCCACUUGUGUAGCAUGUCACAGCAUAGGCACACUGAUAUUUCGUUUACUGCUGUGUAACAUUUCUCACCAAUCUCUUCAUUAGGUCUAUGAAGCAUGUGCAUCCGAUUAAUCAUUCUUUUCCCUUGCUUUUUCUUCCCUCUUUUGGUUUUUUGGUGGAGGUGAAAGCAUGCUUGGUGAAAUAGUAAGAUUAUACCAUUCUAACCUGGAGAUCUUAAGCUCAUUUCACAGAAAGUUAGAAAGUUAGGAACAGAUUCCUUGCAAGGCAAGGGGAAGUAUUGCACAUUUCUGUUUCACUGCUACCAACAAAGGGAUACUGUUUGUCCUAUUUAUUCUCAUUGAACUUGUUCUCUCAUGAGUUAAAUAGGGAGCAAUUACUUCUCUUUACCUUUGAGAAUAUAUAUAUAUAUAUAUAUGUUCUUUUUAUAUUGAAGAUUAAAUUGGAAAGUUACUUGUGUAUUGAUAGGAAGAAAAAACAAUAGGCUCAACAGAAGUCCGGGCUGUAUUUAGCAGUGGCAGUGGUCGUGUUGCUGGAUGCAUGGUAACAGAUGGGAAAGUAGUGAAAGGAUGUGGCAUUAAAGUCAUUCGAAAGAAAAAGAUAGUCCAUGUUGGUGUACUUGAUUCCCUGAGACGAGUUAAGGAAAUUGUGAAAGAGGUAUGACAUUGAACCAGUAAAGUUCUGAUUUCUGACAGUAGUCAAAUUUAUGGUGUUUCAGUGUUCAAUAUUUGUUACUUUGAAAUUUAGUUAAUAAUGCUUUUCCAGACCUGAAUUUCAGAUUUUAUCUCAAAUCAAAUUUCAUGUAUGCAAAUGGCUUGAUGAUGAUUAAUUCUCUAUUCAGGCAUAUGGAAAUAAUUGUUUUGCCCACAUAUAUACUAAUUGCUUAGAACUAAAGACUCCACAGAGAUGAAUAUAUUAGAUCAUCGUAUAUAAUGGUUUCUCUGUUUAUUUUUGUCCUUUUUAAAGGCACUGAGUGCGUAACAGCAAACUUUUCAGUGAGAUGGUGAACCUUGUGUUACAGCACCAAAUUGCUUUGUGUUGUACCGUGAAAAUAUUUGAUUUUUUGGCAGGUAAACGCUGGGCUAGAGUGUGGUAUUGGGAUGGAAGACUUCGAUGAUUGGGAGGAAGGAGAUACCAUCGAGGCCUUCAACACAGUUGAGAAGAAGCGGACCCUCGAAGAGGCAUCAGCUUCAAUGGUAGCUGCAAUGGAAGAAGCAGGAAUUAACUUGUAGAAGAACGUACAGUGUGGCAUCAAAAUUGGCAAAUUUGCUUUCCCCGACGGACAGGGGAAAGAAAAAAUCAUCAUAGAUGAAACAGCUUAUGAAAUCAGUGGUCUACAUUGCUCAACAGGAAGAAUAUAUAAAUGGGGCUGGCCUUGGCAUGCAAUUUAUUUCUAAGUGCCAAGUGCUUCAGAGACUUGAAGCCUGAGCAUGCAUUAAUUUUGCCCAUUGUUGUACGCUAUUCUGUCUGUAUGUAUGUAUGUAUAUAUCACAAGGGACAACCUUACAAGUUCCUUAAUGAUUAUAUGUCUCAAAAAUACUCUGGAAUGGCAUUCAAAGGUGAGAUUUUUUUUUUUCUUUUUCUUUUUAUAAAUUAUAUGCUUUUGCAUGCGAAUCACUUGAAGAGGUUAAAAUGUGAUUAGUGUUUGUAGAUUUUUGUACCGAGAAUUAAAAAUUAUUGAAAUAUCUUAUUUUUAUGAAAUAAAUAAAUAACAUACAAAUCUUAAUGUCAAAGAGUAAAGAUUAUGUGGAUUUUGCUUAAAUAUCAAAGAAUUUUUAAUAAUAAUGAUAAUAAUUAAUUUAUUGGGUUGCUUACGAGUAAAACGUAGUGACGUAAUAAUUCAAGGAGAAAGAGGGCAGAAGUAUGGUCUCGUGUGGGACAAGAGGGAAAGGGCAACAAUUUUCAAAUUUGAAAACAGAGCAAACGCUCAGCUCUCUCAAUUCACACAGCUCAGAAUCAGAUUGAAUGCUUUCCUUUUUCUCCAUUAACUAAAUCAUAAGCUUUCCUUUUCUCUUUAUUCUCUUCCUCUUCUUCUUCUUCUUCUUCUUCUUCUUCUUCUUCUUCUUCUUCUUCAUUCUCUUCUCCUUUUUUAUGAUCAUUACACAUUCAACUCAUUUGAAUGGAAAAUCACCAUGCCCCAUUUCUCCUUACUGACGUUUCAUGGCGAUGUAAAUUCCUUGUCUUUUUUUUUUUUUUUUUAAAAAAAAAAAAUCUUUUUCUGUCUGCCUCUACUUUGCUUCUAGUCUUCUUCACUUUGCUCCUCUCAGACUCCCAACACUCUUCUCCAAGGUCUUCAACACUCAAGAUGGCGGAUCCUGAUUCUUCUGCAAACCCAGAUAGCUGCAUUUAUCUCACUCUUCAUUUUUGCUUUGUUUUUCUGUUCCAGUAGUGUUUCUGGGUGCAGUUCAGCUGAUGAUUUCAUUGUUGUAGAUGCUUCUUGUGAAACCACUCAAAGCUUGGAAACAUAUGAUGCUCAAAAGCUUAUUCGCUCUGUUGCUAAUGAUGCCAUUGACGGUAUAAUGCCUCCAAUUGUUACUUGUUCACGCUUGAUUCGGCCUUCAACAGUAGAUACCUGUGGGUUUUUCAAGAAUUUGAUUCCACUCUACGCUCUAUCUUCCCAGACCUCUCCAUGCUCGGUUUUUCUGAAACAUCUCCUGAUCUGGUUAUUUGCUCUGGUUCUCCUGAGAUACCAAGGACUACUUAUGGAGAUUUCCCUGAAUUAUGGGAUAGAAAUAAGUACAAGGGUUCUUUUGAGCUCUCUCUAGAGAAUGAUAUCGAGGCUAGUGACAAGAAAGAUGCCCAUAAAUCCCUAUCUGUAAAGUUUUCUUCAAUAUGCCAAACAUUUGACAAAGAAUUGUCUCCUGAAUCUUCCUUGAAGCUCCUUAUAAAGCCAGAAAAGGAAGAGAAAUUCCCAGAAAAUCCCCUACUUGGUGUGAGCAUCAAUGCAGGAUCCACUGAUGGGGCUGUGGUUUUGGGGGUGGUGAAGAGUUUUUGGAGGACACUUGUUUCGCUGGUGGUGAUACUGUAAGGACAAAUGCUCCAAUUGGAGAUGGACAAGAAGAUGGUCUUUGUUUGUACCAAACAGCUCGUUUUGGCAACUUCUCCUACUUUUUUCCUGCACUGGAGCCAGGGAAUUAUGCUGUGAGUCUGCAUCUCGCAGAAAUUGUAUUCACAGAUGGCCCUCCUAGGAUGAGAAUGUUUGAUGCUUUAAUACAAGAGAAAAAAAAGGUGAAACUCAAGAAACUGAGACAAACUGGAACUCCUUGUAAUUGAGAUAAAAACUUAAUCUUGUUCUGUUGAUUGAUCACUCAUGCAGGUCGUUUCCUGCCUAGACAUAUAUGCUCAAGUUGGUGCAAACAAGCCUCUGGUUAUAUCUGACCUUAAGAUUUGUAUUUAUUGUGAUGAGGGCUUAUCCAUUAGGUUCGAAGGAGUAAUGGGAAGCCCAAUCGUCUGUGGCAUUUCUAUAACCAAAGAUUCUUUUGCUGGUAAGUUCAAUUCUGCUCCCAUUUUUUGGUUCAGAUUAUCAGUUGGAACUUGGCCAAGCUCUUAAAAUCCAAAUGUCAGAUGCUGGGGAAGCUCAAUUAUCGAAACCAAUGGGAAUAUCUCAAGUGCCAGAAUGCAACUCACCAGAAAUAAACCUUCUAAUCCUAAUUCUAACUUUAAAUUAUGAUCCAAAAUAAAAAAAAGGUUUGACAUACUGAUUCUCUAUUUUUCCUAAAAAUAAUUAAAAAAAUGGUUAGGAAGCCGGUGGUGAGCAAGAAGUGAAAGAAGAUUACCGGGAGCUACUUAGACAAGUUGAGUUUCAGAAAAGGGAACUAAUAGAGAUGAGGAGGGCAUUGGAGGAGCUUAAAAGGGAAAACCAACUUAAGAGUAGAGAAUGCCAAGAUGCUUGGAAGUCUUUACAGGAGCUACAGAAUGAGCUUAUGCGCAAGUCUAUGCAUGUCGGAUCCUUGGGUAAGGAAAGUUCAUUGUUUUUGUGGUAAUCGGUUCAGACCUUCUUUUCAAAAAAAAAAGGUAAAGUUAGAAUGACCAUUGUUUUUGUAGCAUUUGCCAUUGAGGGACAAGUGAAAGAGAAGAGUAGAUGGUUUUCAUCAUUGAGGGACAUGACUAGGAAAUUGAAGGUACUAAAAUAAUUAUGAGUGGAGAUGUCCCUAUGUUCAAAUUGAUAUGCAAUUACAUUAGUUUUUAAAGUUCCUUUUCCAGCUUAUGAAAAUGGAUCACAUAAAGCUAUCAGCGGAGGCAUUCGCCUAUAAGAAGUGCCUUGCAGAUAUGAAUGAAUUGAGGUUGACCAUUCAGUCCAAAAGCAGGUUAACAUACAAUUAACAAUUCAUUUUAAUUUUACAGCUAAAUGUUUGAGAUUUAUUUCUUUGUCUUCUUAAUGAAUUUUUCAUGUUCUGGUAGUGAAAGAGCAAAUAGAUUUGAAUGAAGAUCUCAAGAUUAAAUUUACCGAAGGGGCCAAGGAACGAAAGGAACUCUAUAACAAGGUUUUAGAGUUGAAAGGUAGCUGUAUAUAGCAUGUUUGCUUUGGCAUGUAAGAUUUGAAAUCUUAUGGAAUUAAGGAGGUUCACUGAAAACUGAUGUCUCAUGCAGGAAACAUAAAGGUCUUCUUCCGAUGUAGGCCUUUAAAUGCUGAAGAACUUGCAUUGGGUGCUUCAAUGGCUAUUGAUUUUGAAUAUGCUGAAGAUGGUGAGCUCACUGUUACUUCAAAUGGGCUCUACAGAAAAACCUUCAAGUUUGAUGCUGUUUUUAGCCCUCAAUCCGACCAAGGUAGUUAGAACUCAAUCUGAAGAUACAUGUUAAAGUUUUUCAGUAAUGAAUUUUAUUCUAGCAAUACAAGCCAUCCUUUUUAAUAGUGUUUAGUCACCUGUUUGUUUUUGCUUGAUUAUUUAGCUGAAGUUUUUGAAGACGUUGCUCCAUUUGCAACCUCAGUUUUGGAUGGUUACAACGUAUGCAUAUUUGCUUAUGGACAAACUGGAACUGGGAAAACCUUCACAAUGGAGGGCACAGAAGAACCUCGUGGAGUAAAUUGUAGGAUUCUUGAUGAGAUAUUUCACAUCAUUAAGGAGCAGAAUAAUAUAUUUCGGUACGAUGUAUCAGAAGUAAUAAAAUUCCAUGUUCAUAAAAUUUGCUCAAAUGAAGUAAUAACAUACGAUCAGAAGUUGAGUUAAAGGUUACUAUGUGGUUCUCUCUUGAUACAGCAUUCACUGUGUGAUGGUGAAAGGAGAGAAUGCAUUAACUGGGGAAUGUACAAGGAGCAAGUUAUGGUCGGUUGAUCUAGCAGGAAGUGAGAGAGUAGCAAAGACAGAAGCCCAGGGAGAGAGCGGCUUAAAGAAACCCAAAAUAUCAACAGAUCUUUAUCUGCACUUGGUGAUGUCAUAUCCACUCUUGCAACUAAAAGCCCUCACAUCCCAUUUAGGUUGUCAUUUGCAUGCUAGCCUUUUAUUUUCUUUGUGCAAAUCAACAACCUAACGCAUGCAUCUUCAGUUUGAAAUUUUUCAUGAUGUUUCCUCGUGUGUAGGAAUUCCAAGCUGACCCACCUGCUUCAGGAUUCCUUGGGUAAAUUUCUUUCUACAUUUUCCCAAAGAAAAAAAAAAGAAUAUGGACAAGUGCAAUGAUUACUAUAGUUCAUAAUUUCUGUGAAAUUCCAAGUUUCUUUGUUCUUUUCUCUUUUGUUCUAUUUUAUUCCUCUCUGCGGAAUGAUAAUGACGAACGGAUUUUUGUUUGAUUAGGAGGAGAUUCAAAAACUCUCAUGUUUGUACAGAUAAGUCCCAAUGAAAAUGACCUGGGUGAGACCCUAUGCUCCCUGAACUUUGGAAGCAGAGUAAGAGGGAUAGAGUUGGGUCCUGCACAAAGGCUAUUGGACACCGCUGAACUUCUGAGAUAUAAACAGAUGGUAUUAGAAUUUUCCUAUUUUUAUGCAUCGUUGUCAUCUUUCUAUGAAGUAUGCUUGAGGAAAAUCUUGACUCUUCUACUUCCAAGGCUGAAAAAUAAAAACAAGAUAUGAAGGCCAAAGAUAUACAGCUCAAGAAGAUGGAGGAAACAAUCCAUGGAUUGGAGUUGAAGAUGAAAGAAAAAGAUUUCAGAAAUAAGAAUCUUCAAGAGAAGGUAAGAUACAUGAAAACUAGCUGCCAUACUUGAAUGUCUCUCUCUUUUUUUCCCCUUUAUUUUUCCUUUUCUUUUUUUGAGGUUAAAUCAUGCAGGUUAGAAUUUCUUAUUGGUUGUUUUGCAGGUGAAGGAGCUGGAGUCACAACUGCUAAUUGAAAGGAAGCUAGCACGUCAGCAUGUGGAUUCAAGGAUAGCUGAGCAGCAACAACAAAUGAACCCACAGAAGGACGAGCAACAUAGUGCAGCACCUAGGCGCCCACUUGCAAAUCGACUAUUAGGAAGUAACAAGAAUUCCAGUGAACAUAAAAGCACUGAAAUGGGCAAAGAUCAAGUAAAUUCCAGUCAACCACUUGCGGAGAACAAUGGCUAUACACCUUGUAUUCCCGUUCAUCUAACAGAAGGCAUUGCCAGAAAUAUCGAUCCCACAGAAAAAGAAAACAAACCAAAUAUGCAUGAACAACUAGGAUUGCCCGAGAUAUCAGUAAGAGCCUCAAUUUGCACAACAUCACAAAGGAUCCCAGUAGCUCCAGCUCCAGUUCCAAGGCGCUGCUCACUUAUUCCCCUCCCAAGCAUGGCAGGUUUAGCAGGGCUACCACCACCACCUCCAUUGCAACCAUUAUCAUUAUGCAAUGACAUGAAAGAAGAUAUAGAAGGGUCAGAAGCUAACUACUUGCCAGAGCAAACACAUUGCAACAGUCCCAAAAGAAUAAAACAUAGGACCAGAAAGCUAAGCAGCAUAUUGAGGAGAAGCCUUAAAAGGAAAAUCCAGAUGAAAUCUCCAGCACAGCAACAUCUGAGAAAAGGAGGUAUAAAUGUUGGAAUGGAGAAGGUUAGGAUCUCUAUUGGAAGCAGAGGGAUCAUAUCGCAUAGGGUAUUGCUAGGAAAUGGCAGAAGACCAGGAAUGAAGGAGACUCAGCAGAACAGGAGUCAAAGGGAAAAGGAGAGAGGAUGGAAUAUUGGGAAGAACUCAACCUAAUUGUUGAAGAUGGCUUUAUUGAUUCUUUAUAGUGCUAAUCAUCUGUUUGAAUCCCUCCAGUGGAUUGGUUAAUGUACAGAGUGUGCUUCUUGCAACAUUUGAAUAUUGUUCCAGUGUGUUGUUCUUGCAAGAAUUGAAAUAUUCUUGUACAUUGGAAAAUUAAAUUACACAAGAAUUUCAAUAAAUUCACCGUAACAGGGACUUAUAAUUACUUUGUUUAUAAAUACAAAUAAAGAAAAUUCAUAUUGCAUUUUUGACAAAUCAGGAAUAAUUAUUUUACAAAAAAAAAAAAAUUAUGUCACUUGUAAUUAAUUCAUUGCAUUAUAGAAUAUGGUUGAAGGGCAUUUGAAUUUAUAUAAUUUAAGGAGUGGAGAAGAGAAUGCCAAGUAGGGCAAUGGACAGAAUAUCUUUGGAUCCAUUGGUCUAUCAAUGUCUCAAUCUGUAACUUUGCAUUCAAUCAUUGAUAUCAUAAAUCAAAGUGGGGUCCUUGAUUGAAGAUUGUACCUAUAUCCUAUUAUUAGCUUCAGCCAAACUUGGCAUAGUGUUUGCUUUUUUAUUCUUUAUUUACAACAAUGGGAGAUGUACUCAAUGCCCACAUCUAGGGCAUAGUUUUUUUCAAAUUAGCUAUUUUAUUAUUAAAAAAAAUAAUAAAUUGAACUUAAAACCUUUUAAAUUUUAAUUUAAUAUAUUUAUUAUCAAAUUAAACUUUUUCAUAAUAUAUUCCUGUAAAAUUUAUUGGAUUUAAAGAAUAAAUUAAUAAUUAAAUGAUAGGAGCAUGUUAGAAAAUUUAAUAUAAUAUUCAUUGUUUUUAACAAUAUAAUAAUAAUAAUAAUAAUAAUAAUAAUAAUAAUAAUAAUAAUAAUAAUAUAAUUAUAAAUUUAAGGGUAAUUUACGAUUUAGUCCCUGGAUAUUGCCAUUAUUAACAAGUCAGUCCCUGUAUUUUUAGAAACCUAUUAAAACGUCCUUAUGUUUUCUCUCCGUCAACGAAAUAGUCCUUCUGUCUAUUUUUGUUGUUAAAAAUAUAGUAAAAGACUAAAUUGCUCCCAAUUAUUUUUCUCCUCCUCCUCCUUCCUUUUCUUCUUCAUCAAUUCUUCUUCCUUUUGCUUCUUCUUCUUCUGCUUCUUCUUCUUCUGCUUCUUCUCCUUUUUCUUCUUCUUCUUCUGUUUUUUCUCCUUCUUCUUCUGCUUCUUCUCCUUUUUCUUCUUUUGCUUCUUUUUCUUCUUUUUCNNNNNNNNNNNNNNNNNNNNNNNNNNNNNNNNNNNNNNNNNNNNNNNNNNNNNNNNNNNNNNNNNNNNNNNNNNNNNNNNNNNNNNNNNNNNNNNNNNNNNNNNNNNNNNNNNNNNNNNNNNNNNNNNNNNNNNNNNNNNNNNNNNNNNNNNNNNNNNNNNNNNNNNNNNNNNNNNNNNNNNNNNNNNNNNNNNNNNNNNNNNNNNNNNNNNNNNNNNNNNNNNNNNNNNNNNNNNNNNNNNNNNNNNNNNNNNNNNNNNNNNNNNNNNNNNNNNNNNNNNNNNNNNNNNNNNNNNNNNNNNNNNNNNNNNNNNNNNNNNNNNNNNNNNNNNNNNNNNNNNNNNNNNNNNNNNNNNNNNNNNNNNNNNNNNNNNNNNNNNNNNNNNNNNNNNNNNNNNNNNNNNNNNNNNNNNNNNNNNNNNNNNNNNNNNNNNNNNNNNNNNNNNNNNNNNNNNNNNNNNNNNNNNNNNNNNNNNNNNNNNNNNNNNNNNNNNNNNNNNNNNNNNNNNNNNNNNNNNNNNNNNNNNNNNNNNNNNNNNNNNNNNNNNNNNNNNNNNNNNNNNNNNNNNNNNNNNNNNNNNNNNNNNNNNNNNNNNNNNNNNNNNNNNNNNNNNNNNNNNNNNNNNNNNNNNNNNNNNNNNNNNNNNNNNNNNNNNNNNNNNACGAUUUCGUUGACAGAAAGAAACGAUGAGGAGGGACUAUUUCGUUGACUUAAAUAAACGAUAAGGAUGUUUUAAUAGAUGUGAGAAAAGAUAGGGACUAUUUCAUUGAUGGAAAAAAAUAAUAAGGACGUUUUAAUAGAUAUGAAAAAAGAUAAAAAUAUUUUAAUAGAUUUUUGAAAAUGUAAUGGCUAACUUGUUAAUAAUUACAAUAUACAAGGACUAAAUAAAUGGUUUUAUUUAAGGGUAAAAUUGGAUUUUAAAAAUUUUCUCUCUCCUCCUUUAUCUAAUUUUAACGGAAAAUAGGACGGAAAGACUAUUUCGUUGACGGAAAUAAAACAUAAGGACGUUUUAAUAGGUUUCUAAAAAUACAGGGACUGACUUGUUAAUAAUAGUAAUACCUAAGGACUAAAUCGUAAAUUAUUCUUAAUUUAAUUUGAUGAUAAAUAUAUAUAAAUAUAAAAAGUUUCGUAUUCUACUCUCAAUUGUUUAUUCAUAUUUUAAGAAUGAACAUAAAUUUUCUCCGACAAAGCAAAUUUUGAGAGAUUGGAUGCCACCGCCACUUUUCAAAUGCUUUGCUCCAUUCCUUCUAUUGCUAAAACCAAAGAAGAAUCAACUCUAUUCUUGUCAAUCUCCUCUUUCUUUAACUUAAAAAAAAAAAAAAUUCUAAUUUAUUAAAUUUAUUUUAGUUUCGAGUUUGAAUUUCGGAAAAUAAAUUAAUGAAAUGUGGUCUAUGCUGAUUACAGCCAACUCUUAUAAAUAGCUCAGCACCACCCUCAGUUUCAAUACCAAAAGAAGAAGAAAAAAAAAAGCCUUCCCCUGCUCUUCAAAAUUUGUCCUGAACAUCAACAACAAUGGUGGUCCUGUCCAAUCCAGGUAUUGAACAGUUGUCAUCUCUAAGAAACUGCAAACCCACCACAUUAUUUUCUGGAAUUCCCAUUAUAGACCCCUCUAAAUCUGACUCUAAGCACCUCCUUGUUAAGGCCUGCGAGGAUUUUGGAUUCUUCAAGGUCGUCAACCAUGGAAUCCCCAUGGAAUCCAUUUCCAGGCUUGAAUCUGAAGCCCUCAGCUUCUUCUCAUUGCCUCUUUCUGAAAAGCAAAAGGCUGGACCUCCUAAUCCUUUCGGCUAUGGUAACAAAAUCAUUGGACCAAACGGCGACGUUGGUUGGGUCGAAUACCUUCUCUUCACAAUCAAUCAAGAAUCCAUUUCCCAGAGGUUCAUUUCAGAAGAUUUUAGGUACUGAAAUUUGACAAAAAUUAAUCAGAUUGUGAAUUAUUUGAUAUUAAUUGUCUUCUCUUUCAGGUCUGCUUUGAAUGAUUACAUAUCAGGUGUGAAAAAGAUGGCAUGUGAGAUUCUUGAAAUGAUGGCUGAUGGUUUAAGAAUCCAACCAAGAAAUGUGUUCAGUAAACUUUUAAUGGACGAACAGAGCGACUCUGUUUUUAGGCUAAAUCACUACCCUCCAUGCACAGGGCCAGGGAUUCACACUCUGAAUUCUAACAAUAUGAUUGGAUUUGGAGAGCACACAGACCCACAAAUCAUUUCUGUACUGAGAUCCAACAACACAUCUGGCCUGCAAAUCUCUCUUGGAGAUAGCAAAUGGAUUUCAGUCCCACCUGACCAAAACUCCUUUUUCAUCAAUGUUGGUGACUCUCUGCAGGUAACCCAAGUUCACUUUUUUUUCUUUUUUGAUAUGUACAAGGUUGUCGUCUCCAUUACAGUGCCUCUAAAUUCAAUUUUACCAAAAUGGGUUGCUUGGGUUUUGGACAGGUCAUGACUAAUGGGAGGUUUAAAAGUGUGAGGCACAGGGUUUUGGCAAACAGUAUGAAAUCCAGAGUUUCAAUGAUAUAUUUUGGUGGGCCACCUUUGAGAGAGAAAAUAGCUCCAUUGGCUCCACUCAUGAAGGGAGAAGAGGAGAGCUUGUACAAAGAAUUCACCUGGUUUGAGUACAAAACAUCUGCAUAUAACUCAAGGUUGGCUGAUAAUAGGCUUCUUCUCUUUCAGAAAAUAGCAGCCUCAUGAUUUCAGCUAAGAGCAACUCUACCUGGGUUCUUUUUUAUUUAUUUUCUAAUACGUUAUCAAAGUGAAAGUUUUUAUAUAAUUAUUUAUUAAAAAAAAAAAAUUGUAUGGUUACUGUUUUGCCACAAACGACAGUCGUAUUCCAUUUGCCUGUUUGAGGACGAUUGAUAGAAAGUUGAUGAUUAUAUUUGAAUAUUCUUCAACUUUUUCCUUUUUCUUUUUCUUUUUCUGAAACCCAAUUCUUCAACUCAUGCUCUUUUGAAUAAUGAACUUUUUUAUUUCGAAAUUUAAAUUAAAUUACAUAUAAAUUUUUAUUUUUAAAUUACUAAUCUAAAAAUAUAAAUGUAAAUUUAAUUAGCUUGUAAUCUGGAUAAAAAAACAAAAUUGAAAUAAAUUAUUGAAACUUAAUUUUACUGUUAUAGUCAAUUUUUUAACAAAAAAAAACUUAUUACACACUCAAUUUAAAUUUUACUCAUUUUAAAUUUAAACUAAAUAUUUAAAAUUAAAUAUUAAUAAGUUAAAAAUUAAUUAAUUUAAUAAAGAAUUUUAAUUUGUAUCGAGUAUAAUAUUAAAUAAUCUAUGAAUAAUUUAAUUUAUUUAUGAGUAUAAUAAAAUUUAAUUUAAAAUUAAUAAAUUUAAAAUUAAAUAAUUUUAAUUAAAUAAAUUUAUAUAAAAAUUAACUAAAAAACCUGUAAAAAUAAAUUUUUAAAUCUUAAAUAUGAAUAUUUGUAGGUUAUAAGAAUGCAAUCAAAUUAUACAAGGCUGAAUACUAAACAAGUUAAAUUUAGCUUAUAAAAAGUUAUACAGGUUUUGAGUUGAAUACUCUUAUUACAUUGAAUUUAAUUUAUUUAUUAAAUCUGUUUAUCAUAAACUAGAAAAUAAAAAUAAAUUGACCUCACGAGUUUAAUAAAUCCAACUCAUAAAUCUCAAUAAAAAACUCGGACUAGUUUACUAAACAAAUUUAAAAAUUAAGUCUAAAAUUGAUUCAUUUAAAAAUUAAUCUGAGUACGAUUAAGUUUUUAUCAAGUCAAAUCUUAAUAACUCAAAAAAUAGCUUAGUUCAUUUAUAUUCAACAAACUAACAUUUCCCUUCAUCAUCUCCGAUGAUAAGACCUCCAAAGAACUAACUUUAAAAUUAACUUUAGAGAUCAACCCAACCUGGCUGAGGCUGCCCAACCAACAUUCAAACAAAGCAAAAAAUAUUAAGAUCAUCCCUGGAGUGGAAAGGUUCAAGUUGAAGGUGAAUUUGACAUACAUUACAUACACAGCUCAAAAUACUUGAAUAAUGCCUACAAAACAUAGAUAACAACUAGAGGUUGUUGUGUUAUUAUCUUUAUUUCUGGCUCUUCUUUUUCCACAAGUCUCCAAACAUUUUAAUGCCAGAGCCCUUCCUUUUUCCACUUCCAAAACCAUCACCCAAGUCAUCAGAUAUUCCUGGUGAUCCCAGCAAACCAGUGUACCCACCACCGCCGCCAGUGGUUCCAAACACACCACUAAAGUGCUUAUCCAUGGAGCCACACCUCUCGGUAAUCCUACCAUUCAUCUCCACUGCUCCAGCAAGCACUGCUGCUGCUGCAUCUGCUGCUUUUCUCCACUGCUCUGUCUGCACUCUCAUCUUCUUUAUCUCUGCUUCCAUCGUUGCCUUUGCUCCUUCCGCAGAUUCCAGCUUCUCUUUUAAAUGAGCUUCAUUUGCUUUGCUUUGUUCCAGCUCUUCUCCAAGUUGACUUAAUCUCAUGGACAUUUCCUCUUCCUUUGCCUUAGCAGAUGAAAUAUUUGAAGUUGCUCCAUUUAGUAGAUUCUUCAAAUUUUCAUUCUCUUUAACAAAUGCCUCCAAUUCAUUUUGUUUCUUUUCUAAUUUGGCUUUCAGCAUAUUUAUCUCAUCGUCUUUUAGAGCCAAGUCAUUGAAUGAUGGCUUUACAGGCUCUGAAAUUGAUAGCGUCUCAGUUAUAAUUUUAGUUGCGCCGUUCCCCUUUUCUUCAUGAUCAAGCAGGUGGCCAGGUUCAACCUUGGUGUCAGCAGCCUCUUUUUCAAAUGGAACUUCAAAAACAUCAGUUUCCUGCUGAUUGUUUGCAUCUAUAACAUUGUCAUCUGCCUUCUCAGAAUCCUGAAUCUCCGCUGGAGGAUGCUUCUCUUGAAUUUCAUCAGGCUCUAGAAUAGUCGGUUUCUUUGUUUUGUUUUCUAAUUCUUGUUGAGCUUCUUGCUUUGCAGCUUCAGCAGAAGCCAACUGACCUUUCAGAAUCUUCAGCUCUUCUUGUGCUUGACCAAGUUGAGAUUCUAAAUCUGCAAUACGAGUUCCUAGUUUCUUUUGGUUCAGUGAGUCAGAAGGGGGACCUCGUGGGGAGCGACGAUCUCCCAGCUUGGGGCUUCGCUCAGUAAUUGGUCGAUGAUUCAGUGGGUCAGACUCAGAACUAGAUGUCCUAAGUGGAUGGGGAGCUCGAGGUGACUGCCUUUGAGGCAUUUCUAAACCUCUGUUCAUAUGCAAACACAAACUGUUACAUAAUCAUGCAGAUAUUAAUGUAAUUUGACGCAUACUUUUCCCUUUGUAAACUAAUGGAGUCUUAACUAAAUACAGAGAAGAAUAAGCCAGUGAGUGAUGAAAGAUGAAACAAAUGUCCUAAGGGAUUUCAAAUCCCCAUUAAAACAUCUAUGCAUGUGAUACGAUCAGGCACAAACAUCUACAAGUAUCUCAAAUAUGAUCUGAUUUCAUGCUCAACACAAGUGCAAAAGAAAUUAGGCUUUUCUGUGUUCAUCCCACAAGUGCUUAGUAUUGUUGGGGUCUAUUACCCAUGCAACUGAUCCAACAAUAUUGAUUUAUUGAAGUGCUGAAUCCUAAACAAAAACUACUGUAAAUUGCAACUACAGAAUAACAAGCAAUGUUAGUCUUGACAAGAAAGAGGAAUGCAGGGAACAGCAAAAUAGUAUGUGGCAAAGAAAUCAAGGCAAAAUCCAAUUCUUUUGCCCAGAGUAAAAUGCUGUAGAAUUAAGCAUAAGCAUUCUUCACCAAUUAGCAACUCCGAAUAGGCAUCCAUCUUUAAUAACAGUGGUCACAGUGUGCAUACAUGUCAGCAUUUGCCCAACUUUUCCCAGAGAGAACUACAUAUUGGUAAAAAUUUGGGUUUACUUACCUUGAUCUUGGCAUUUUAUCAGCUUCAGAAAUAUUGGUUGGAGAACAGCAAGGAUUGCGUUAGAGAAUUGUUCUCUGAUGAAUCUAAUAAGCAAACAAAAGGGAAAAUAAUGUAAAAAGAAGAAAAAAAGAGAGGUUAAAAUGAAGCUUAUUAAUAAACUAUCAAUAUAAAGAAACUGGAAAAAAAAAAUCCAUAAUAAUAAAUUCAUUUAUAUCCCAGCCAAACGUUCUUGCCUGCAAUGCCAAGAACAUCAACUUAAGCUUCUAGUUUGAUGCAAAAGUUUAAAGCAUAUGUUGUAGACUUGUGAAAUGAAAUAGAACACAACUUCUUAUUUCACUGAACUGAGAGAAUGAGAUGCAAGUAAAGCAAAAAUGUCAAGAAAGCAGUAUUAUUUAGUUCAUUUUUACAGUGGAACACAAACAAAAUCAAAUGAUUCCUCAUUUGUAUCGCCCCCUUAAGAAGCCAACUCUUGUAGGAGUCACUAUCACGUUUUAAUGCAGAUGCUCAAUAGGCUGAGUAUAAUGAAGAGUAAAAUGAAGAAAACAGGAAUUCCAUGCAUACCCCACAAUACUCAUUUGGCCUGGACAAGUCAUGUGUACAAUUUAUACCAAAUGGAGCCAUCAUAUUCAAAAUCUGACAUAACAAGUCAAGAAAUGUAAAUCUAGGAAAUGCCGUACAAUGUCUUGUGACAUAAUGCAUUUCAAUGAGAUUCUGGAUUUUACAAACGAUUAUGAAAUUCCUGCACAGACACACAGAAAAUCACCCUUUUGAAAAGCCAAUGCCUUCUCUCUUGUUUCUUACCAUCUCUCCAUGAUUAGCAGAGGAAUGAUCAGAUUGUAUAGUAAUGGUGCCUACCUGUGCUAUAAUACAUGGCUAACAUAUAGUGAAUAUGCAUUUGAAACCAAAGCAUGCGGCAAUGGAUCUUUUAACUUUCAGAGUGUGAAGACAAUUUCUCCCAAAUUUCAAGUUGGUGAGUUGAAAGGGUAUUUGCGUCAUUUCAAUCAAGCUUUUACUGACAAGUGAGGAGCCACAAAGUAAUGUGCGAGCAGAAGCGUGAAAAAAGUGACAGUGGAAUGUCUUCAAACCAGAAUCCGGCCAAAAAUAAAUUAAAUGAUUAACCAGUAGAAGAGAUAUACCACACGCUCCGCCGUCACGUGUGCAUCGGUUCAUGUAAUACAAGACAAACCAAUUUUGAAAAAUUUUUCUUUCUGCUUGUGGAAACCUCCAUUUCAAAAUAUAAAGUAAAGACAAAAGAAAACAGAUAGAUCUGAAAAAUGUUGCAUAUUAUACUAAGAAAACUAAAAGAAUGCGUUUGGUUGCUGAGAAAAUUAAUCAAAAGGAGGAGGGGGUGAGCCUUGGACCACAACUGGAAUUUCACAUUUACAAUGGUGGAUUGGUGUUUGAAAUCUAUUUUCUCGACAACCAAACAGAUGACACUGCUCAAGAAAACGAAGAAAGCAAGAAACUUUUAUUUCCACAUUAACCAUGAGCAGAUAUCUACAGUCCAAAACGUUGGUAUUGGCAAAAAGAAGAAGAUGCAAAAAGGUGAAAAACUCACCGGAGAAUAUAAAUGCACAAGUAGUAGAUACUUGAAAAGUUAGGUUGUGGUGAAGAUUGUGAGAAUGAAAAUCUCCAUUAAAGAAGAUUAUCAUUUUCCAUGAAAGAGAAGGAGAGCCAUUUGUAAAUAUGUUAAGACGCUAAAGCUUCUUGAAAGACAAUAAAAGCACAAAGCUUGAGAAAGAGCGUCAGAAGUUUGAAUUAAAGCUGGGCAAGAGCAAAAGAAAGAUGACAAAAUGGUAAUUUUAACGAGAUCACCAGCUACCCCACCAUUAAUGCACCUUUAGAUUAUGAUAUUUUUCAAUCUGGGAAAUCCAACCUCUGUUUACAAUUGUGUCUAAUGAAUUUAUAAAUUUAAAUUUGAAUAUUUAAUUUAAUAAUUAUUUGAUUUGUUUUCAUAUGAUGUUAAAUUUAUAAGAGCAAUAUUGUAAUGAAUUUUACUAAAUCAAAUAUUAUAUAUAUAUAUAUAUAUAUAUAAACAUAGAUAUUUAAUUUUUUAAAAAAUAAUUUAAUUAAAAAAAUAUUUAGUGUUGAUUAAUUUUGCUAGAUGUCUUAUAAGAUAGAAAUCAAACAUAUAUGAGGUUUAAAUAUGGGAUAAAAUUACAAUUCUGCAUAUAUAAAAUUAAAAAUAUAUAUAUAUAUAUAUAUUUUUUUUUUUAAAGCAAUUUGAGGGCGUAAGGGCAAGUUGCUCUCUGCUGGAUCCAUCCCUGAAUAGAACUGUAGAAGAAGAUGAUAAACAAUGUCUUGCAAUUUGCAAAUAGACGUUGAGCUGAACAAUAAAUUGAAAUUUGAUCUGAGAGCAUUCAGUUAGAUCAAAUAUGAAAGGAAUAGCCUUUUCACCCACAAACUAUCAUUGCUGCUUCAAAAAUCAUCACAACACAUCUAGAAGAUCGUCAAUAAGCACAAACCCAAUUCAAUUCAACGACAACCAAAACCAAAAUCAAAACCCAUCAAUCAAAACACGCCCAUUCCCUUCACUUGUCCUUAAAUCCUCCAAAAACCCUAUAACACCAGUUAAUCCGGAGUCCAACAACCCACCGCUUGUCGUUGUUGGCUCAGCCAAUGCUGACAUCUAUGUCGAAAUUGAGAGAUUGCCCACCGAAGGAGAGACCAUCUCAGCCAAGAGUGGGCAGACACUUGCAGGUGGGAAGGGAGCUAAUCAAGCAGCUUGUGGUGGCAAACUCUCCUACCCAACGUACUUCGUGGGUCAGGUGGGAGAGGAUGCACAUGGGAAGUUGAUCAUUGAGGCGUUGAGAAAUGGAGGAGUUUGUCUUGAUUAUGUAAGGCAUGUUGGUGAUGUGCCUACUGGGCAUGCUGUGGUGAUGCUUCAGUCUGAUGGGCAGAAUUCUAUUAUCAUUGUUGGUGGAGCCAACAUGAGUCGUUGGCCUGAGAAAUUGAGCGAUGAAGAUUUGGUGGUAAUAAGGAAUGCUGGCAUCCUUUUGCUUCAAAGGGAGAUCCCUGAUUCCGUCAAUAUCCAAGUUGCCAAGGUCAGGCUGGCCAUAGAUACAUAUUUGAAUUGUUUUUGUCAAUUCUUCUUGCUUUAUCUUCAACCAUGUUUGUGUUAAUUUGUUUUCAGAAGUUUGAUGUAUUAUUCUUUCUCGGUCCAUGGUCAAAACUUGAAUAUGUCUUGCAUCGUAAUGAACAGAUUAUGAAAAUGGACCUACUAAUGCCUUUUGCUUGAAAUAUGUUAGAUUCUGGUUGAGGCUGAGGCUAACUAUGAUCUCAUCUUUGUGAAUUUGGGUUAGCUUGGGGGAGUUUGAGGAUUUAUUUUUUAUGACGUAUUAUUAGUUUCCUCAUAAGAAUAUGAUAAACUACAUUUACUUUUGAAUAAUGAUCUCUUUCUCCUUGCUCGAUGACUCUAUAAUGUCCAGAGAGAAAGAAAUAGGCAAUCCUAACCAGAAAAUUUUCACUUGAUCUACAUAGUGAGUGCAUUUUGGCAUUGUGGGCAUGUUACCAAACCACUGCAAGUCUAUACCCGAUUCAGUCAUGGACCCAAGUCAAAGCAGCCACAUAUUGAGCCUCUAAAUUAGUCAAAUAUUUCAGUUAUUUUUCAGCUAUCUUUUAGUUAAAUUGUUCCCUGUUUGUAGGAGGGUAUUCCUCCACUUUCUAUUUCAUGUUGUUAAUUGAGGAGGGCGUUCCUCCAUGUUGAAGUAGUGCUCCUUUGAUGUAGGAAGCAUUUUCUAUUUCAUGUUGUUAGUUGAGGAGGGUGUUCCUCCAUGUUGAAGUAGUGCUCCUUUAAUGUAGGAAGCAGUUAUACUUCCUUCCUUUCUGUAUUUAAGCAAUAACAUUGAUGAAGAGGGGAGCUUCCAAAAUCAAUUAAGUUCUCAGAGGUUUCAGGUUCCCUCUUUUAGAGCCUGAAUUGUUAAUGACCAGAGGUUGUAAAAAGACUCUUAACCCAAACACUCAAACUCCAGCCAUACCCUUAGCCCAUAGACCCAUAACCAGAUCCACAACUCGGGACCAUAACAGUUUGGUAUCAGAGCCGGCAGUUAUGGGGACUCUGUUCAAGAUCAACUCGCCAAGCUCUUUGAAUUGUUGUUGGCUGAGCAGCAAGCAAACAAAGACCGAAAUGAAAAAGUUGAGCAAUUGCAUACCAAAUUGGAUGCAAUGUCUCAAGAAUUGAAAUUGACUAAGAAAGGGUUGCAAUCUAGCAGCACUGACAGUCAAGCAAAAUCAAGGAAAGAUAUGGGAAUUUCAGGUGCUUUGGUUUUUGAAAGUUCGGGAGGAAUUUCGGUAGUAUCGAAAUUCACAAAGCUUGAUUUUCCUCGUUAUGAUGGGCUGGAAGACCCUUUGGGGUGGCUUGCCCGAUGCUAGCAUUUUUUUAGGCACCAACAAACACCCGAAGAGGAGAAGGUGAGUUUAGCUUCGUACCAUUUGGAGGGGAUUGCGCAGCUGUUGUAUAUGCAGCUGCUGGAUGACAUUCCAGAUCCCAAUUGGGAUGAGUUCACACAUCAGUGUAAUCUUCGUUUUGGGCCUCCAAUCCGCAGCAACAAAUUAGGCGAAUUGGCAAAGCUAAAGCAAACUGGUUCUGUUGCAGAAUAUCAGAACCGUUUCAAAGCCUUGGUGUCACGCGCUGGCACCCUCACGCAGGAACAAAAGGUUCAGUUGUACCUCAGUGGAUUGCAGGACUCUAUUGCUGUUGAGGUCGAGCUACAUCAUCCAAAAGAUUUGGUGAAUGCAAUGAGCAUCUUCCGGCUGUAUGAACGGAAACUUUUCCCAAGUUCUCCGGCUGUGAGAGACACUCGUCGCGCUGCCUUCACAUCUGCACCUCGUGCCAACAGAUUGGUGAAGUGAUUGAACCGUGAGGAGAUGGAAGAAAGACGGAAAAAGGGACUGUGUUUUAACUGUGAUGAACAGUUUGUUCGCGGCCACCAAUGUAAAAAACUUUUCUAGAUAGACUUAGAGACCGAAGAAAUAGAGGACACAAAUUCUGAUUUGGAGCUAGAACAACUAGAGAUUUCAUUGAACGCCAUCAUUGGAAUUCGAAAUCCUCAGUCCAUGCGACUACAGGGAUAUUGAAAGGGGGGACAAGUCUUAAUUCUAAUUGAUUCUGGCAACACUCACAGUUUUGUGUCUGCAGCAAAAGUCGAGGAACUUGGUGCUGAAGUAAACGGGCAGGAUGGCUUGAAAGUUAAUGUCGCCAAUGGUGAGCAACUUGACAGCCCAAGUAUAUGCAAGGGAAUCCCAAUUCUACUGGAUUUCCACUCUUUUUCCGUGGACUUAUUUGUUCUGCCACUAACCGGUUUUGAUGUGGUUUUGGGAGUUAACUGGCUUCGAACUUUGGGACCCAUUCUGUGGGAUUUUGCUAUCAUGAAAAUUUCUUUCUUUCAACAGGGAACCUUGAUCGAAUUGCAGGGCAUGACUUCAAUUUCCUAUACAAAGCAGUCUGAUCUCCACAGUUUGCUGCUUUUCCCAGAUUCUGAAAUUCAACUACAGAAAUUGUUGGCAGAAUUUGCCUCUUUAUUCAGUUCGCCAACCGGAUUACCUCCUAGCAGGGCCUGUGACCACCGUAUUCCUUUGGAACCAGGAGCAAAACCGGUGGUUGUCCGACCAUACCACUAUCCACAUGGGCAGAAGGAUGAAAUCGAAAGGCAGUGUGUGGCCAUGUUGCAACAAGGCAUAAUCCGCCCAAGCCGAUCACCAUUCUCCUCCGGUGAUCCUAGUACCAAAGGCAGACGGUUCUUGGCGUUUAUGUGUCAAUUACAGAGAAUUAAACGCCAAAACCAUUAAAGACAAAUUCCCAAUUCCUGUGAUAGAUGAGUUAUUAGAAGAACUAGGUGGUGCUAGAUACUUCACAAAGCUAGAUUUGCUCUCUGGUUAUUUUCAAGUGGGCAUGCAUGCUUUUCGGACUUAUCACGGCCACUUUGAAUUCCUAGUAAUGCCAUUUGGUUUGACCAAUGCACCUUCAACCUUCCAGGCCUUAAUGAAUGAGGUAUUUCAAUCAUAUUUGAGGAAAUUUGUUCUCGUUUUUUUUUGACGACAUCUUAGUUUUUUGUCAGUCUUAGGCAAAACACCUCCACCACCUACGACUGGUUUUUCAAUUAUUGGAUAAGAAUAAAUUAUUUCUCAAACGCUCCAAGUGCGUUUUUGGCCAGACUCAAGUUUCAUAUUUAGGUCAUAUUAUUUCUCAUCAUGGAGUCCAGGUGGAUCAGUCAAAAAUAUCAUCGGUCCUAGAUUGGCCCAAGCCCAACACAAUUCGUGGUUUGAGAUGAUUCUUAGGGCUUACAGGUUACUACCGCAAAUUUGUCCAAAACUACGGAAUCAUCGCCGCUCCACUCACAGCUAUGUUGCGGAAAAACAAUUUUCGUUGGACUGAAGAGGCUGAGACGGCAUUCGACAAAUUGAAAGAGGCAAUGACAUCAACUCCAAUCUUGGUUCUCCCUGAUUUUAAACUAACCUUUGUCAUAGAAUGUGAUGCCUCGGGUACAGGAAUCGGAGCUGUUUUGUUACACCAAAACAAACCAAUGGCAUACUUUAGCCAUUCAAUAGCAGUGCGCCAUCAGAACCUUCCGACGUAUGAAAGAGAGCUGAUCGGGUUGGUGAAGGCAAUCAAACAUUGGCAUCCUUAUAUCUGGGGUCGGGAAUUUACUGUUCGAACGGACCACUACACACUCAAAUAUCUGUUAGAGCAACGCCAUCUCUCUUUUUCUCAGCAAUACUGGGUUAGUAAACUUAUGGGCUUUUGUUUUACAGUUGAAUACAAAGCUGGAAAAUCCAAUAUAGUUGCUGACGCACUCUCUCGACGGGAUGCUGAUCAAUCUGCCAUCUUGGCAGUUUCUAUGCCCCAACUAAGCCUGUUUGACGAUAUUCAGAAAGAGCAACAUGAUUCAGAAGAAGUGUAGAAAUGAAUUGCUGCAAUUCAUACUGGAGCGGCCACUUCCAAAUGGAGUUUUAAGAAUGGUUUGCUCUUUUACAACAACAGAGUUUACCUUUCUUAUAACUCCCCAUCUAUUCAACUAGUGGUCAGUGCUCUCCAUAACCAGGGCCAUGAAGGAUACCAAAAAACCCUGUACAAAAUUACAAGGGAUUUUUUUUUGUUUGGAAUGAAGCAAUGUGUUAGAGAUUUUGUGCGCUCUUGUGAUACAUGUCAGAGGCAUAAAACAGAGACUUUGCAACCGGCGGGACUCCUUCAUCCUCUUCCCAUUCCAACGCAAGUUUGGGCUGAUAUCUCUAUUGACUUCAUCGAGGGAAUUCCAACUUCACGUGGGAAAAAUGUAUUGCUGAUAAUCGUCGACAGAUUUUCGAAGUAUGGGCAUUUUCUGGCUUUGUCUCAUCCAUAUACAGCUGUAAGUGUUGCUCGCUCUUUCUUUGACAACAUUUUUAAAUUACAUGGCUUGCUAGAAACUAUGGUCAAUGACAGAGAUGUGACAUUCACAAGUUCCUUUUGGAAAGAACUUUUCCGUUUGAGUGGUUCUAAGCAGUGUUUCAGUUCCUCUUAUCACCCACAGUCGGAUGGUCAAACGGAGGUGGUAAACCGCACCAUUGAAAUGUAUCUUCGCUGUUUCACAAGUUCUACUCCGAAUAAAUGGAUUGACUGGUUGUCCUGGGCUGAGUUCUGUUACAACACCAGCUACCAUUCCUCUCUUAAAACCACUCCUUUCGAAACGGUUUAUGGCCGUCCUCCUCCCAGAUUAUUGUCAUAUCUACCUGGUAGUUCCACCAUUGAUGUUGUCGAUACUGUUUUAAGGACAAGAGAUGAGAUGCUACUCUCACUUCGUGAAAACCUACUGCAGGCCCAGCAAAAAAUGAAGCAUAUAUAUGAUCAAUCUCAUCGUCAUUUGGAGUUUAAGGUGGGGGAUAAGGUUCUACUACGUUUACAGCCUUAUCGUCGAACUUCAGUUGCUAAAAGGAGGAAUCAGAAACUUUCGGCACGAUUCUAUGGCCCCUUUGUGAUAGUGGAACGUGUCGGUUCCAUGGCCUAUAAGUUGGAUCUUCCUGCCGAUUCAAAGCUCCAUCCAGUGUUUCAUGUUUCAAGUCUAAAACCUUAUCAUGAAGGUCAGUCUGCUCCUACACCAUUGCUGUCAUCUUUUCCGCUGCCAGAACCUGGUUAUCAUUUGGCCAUUCUAGACCACCGUAUUAAAGGAGGAAGUCAGGAGGUUCUUGUCCACUGGACUCAUUCUUCUCCUGCUGAUGCUUCAUGGGAGAAGGUGCAGGCAUUCUCCGCCAAAUAUCCAGAUUUUCAACUUGAGGACAAGCUUCCUUUGGGGGCGGGAAGUAAUGUUACCAAACCACUGCAAGUCUAUACCCGACUCAGUCAUGGACCCAAGUCAAAGCAGCCACAUAUUGAGCCUCUAAAUUAGUCAAAUAUUUCAAUUAUUUUUCAGCUAUCUUUUAGUUAAAUUGUUCCCUGUUUGUAGGAGGGUAUUCCUUCACUUUCUAUUUCAUAUUGUUAAUUGAGGAUGGUGUUCCUCCAUGUUGAAGUAGUGCUCCUCUAUUUCAUGUUGUUAGUUGAGGAGGGUGUUCCUCCAUAUUGAAGUAGUGCUCCUUUAAUGUAGGGAGCAGUUAUACUUCCUUUCUGUAUUUAAGCAAUAACAUUAAUGAAGAGGGGAGCUUCCAAAAUCAAUUAAGUCUUGAGCGCUUUAAGUCUCAGAGGUUUCAGGUUCCCUCUUUUAGAGCCUGAAUUGUUAAUAAUCAGAGGUCGUAAAAAGACUCUUAACCCAAACACUCAAAUUCCAGCCAUACCCUUAGUCCACAGACCCAUAACCAGAUCCACAACUUGGGACCAUAACAGGGCAGUAUAAAUAAUCAAAAGAAAUGAAGACUGAUGCUGGAUCAGUUCUAAGAAUCCAGAAUAAGGUAGCUGAGCAGUGCUGUGACACUCUGAUAUGGUUGUGCAGUGUCGUUUGGCAGCUACUGCCACUGUAGCAUGGCAAUGUCCAUGAUUUUUUCUUUCUUCUCUUCUAUUUGAAUUAAAUUAGUCCCACAAUAGGCGGAACUUGUGGAACAGAGCCUGCCAAGUCCAGAGUGGGCACUAUUCCUGCUUCAGCUUCAUUGUUAAGUAACUGGCCUAGAAACAUUGAUGAUUGUUUAUCAUAAAUGAUUGCCAUGAUAUAUUUCUUUGCUGUGGGCACUUGAUUGUUUUUAAGAUGGUAAUGUAGAACCUUAGUGUAAAUAAGGCAAGAGGGGAGAGGCGAGGGCCUUUUUGAAGCUAGGUGCCAUAGUCUAUAUGUAUAAUAGGUGUCUGUGUGUAUAUGCUUUUAACAUUACGAAAAAUAAAAACAACCAUCUUAAAAAAGCAAUAAACAAAGAAAAAAGAAAUAAAAUGAAAAUUUGGUGUUUAAAACAAAAAAAAAAAAGAGGACUUAUUUCUCUGGGGCAUUGCUUCUGAAGUCUCUUGCCUGGCACCUUACUGCACUGAGGCAUUGCCUCUUUGAAUCCUGGCACGCUCCUUGCCUCACCUCCCAUGGUGCCUUGGAGUGCCUUUAACAACACUGGUAUAGCUAUUCAACCAUUAUUUCUGUUCUGCAGUCCAGUAGUCAAUACUUUGUCAUCUAAUAGAAAAUCAGUAUCUUUCUUCAUUGUCAUAUUUGUAUAUAGGAUAAUUGAAUUGUAUAGAGGCUUUAGGGAUUGCUUAGAAAUUCUGUGGUUCAAGGAUCCUUAAUGUUUCCUCUACUAAUGAGCUUUGAUGGUUAUCCCUUUUAUCAUCAAUGCUGAAGUGAUGAUGGGAUAUUUAAGUUUCUCUUACAUUUCUCCUAUUUUCCUUUAAUAAUUUCUUUCACAUUUUGAUGCUGCCAUGUAUCUGUGUAGGCUGCAAAGAGUGCUGGUGUUCCUGUCAUUUUCGAUGCUGGGGGAAUGGAUGCACCUAUACCCUUGGAACUGUUGAAGGUUGUGGACAUCUUCAGCCCAAAUGAAAGUGAACUAGCGCGUAUAACUGGCAUGCCUACUGAAAACUUUGAACAGAUUAGUCAGGCUGUUACUAAGUGUCAUGAAAUGGUUAGUAUGCACCACUUAAACAAGCUUUAUCCUAUGAAUCUUUGUUCUGUACUUAGCAUGGUUGAUCUUUCUACACUUUGAAGAUUUGACAAAAACACUUUUACCGGUUAUGUUUUGUUGUAAUGAUAACUUAUUUGCUGCAUUAUGCUGGUUAAAGUUUAUGAUUCUUGUGAAUUAUGCAAAUCUGAUUGUCCACUGAUUUUUUAUAUGUAUCCACAUAAUGGUCAUUAUUGAAGUGCCAUCAAGCCAGAGCCCACAAGUUCAGAUGCUUCGUGUACUGGGUUACCCUUUAUAUUGUUAUUUGCCAUGAAUGCUCUCAUUUCCAUCCACUUCCAAUAUCAGAUUACAGGUUGAUUCUUCCAUGUGAAACACUAAUAGGGUCAUUCAAUUUCACAGAUGCCUGAAUAUACUAGAGCAGUUGGGUAAGAAUUAAGAUCCUAUGAAGUUUCAGUAUGUAAUUAUUUCAUAAUGUACAUAAGUUGCACGUGAGUUAUUAGAUCAACUAGUGAACUUAUUAUAUGGCGUGGAAUUAAAUAUUGCUAAAGUUUCUUUGCUCUAAUUUUUCCUUCUCCAACAAAAUGUUUUCUCUAUCAAUGAUAUCAGAUUGUAUGAGUACACUUAAGGAGGGUGUUUUGAAUUAGGAAAGAAAAUAUGAAUACAUCCUUUUUUUUUUACUAUUAAGUCUGAAAAUUCAGGUUUAUUGUGAUUAACAAAAUUGUUUGUCGGGCUGUGUGCUUGAAAGAUGCUUUUGAGCACCUAGUAAUUGGGCUUGAGCUUAAUUAGCUAGUUCUUCAUUUUCCACUUAUUGAGAGUGAGGUCCAGACAAUCCCACUCUCUCUCAUGCAUCCCACACACGCACACAGAGUUUUCUUUUUAAUUUUAAUUGGUGAUGAUCAUUUCUUUCAUCUUUAAUAUUUCGAAUGUAUGUUCCUCUCCUCAUUAUUUUGAUGUUUAAGCAUUCUUGAUAAGUGUUUUAAUUCCAAAAAUUUAGAAGUGUGCAUUAGUCGGAUUGGGUCCAAUUUUAAUAUUCAUGACAUUCUUAUAGUUGAUACUAGUUGAUGAUAAAGAGGUUAAUAGAGCAAACAGAGAGCUGCUAGAAAAUGCCAAAUGAUAAUACUUUUCUAACACAUCAUAGGUUGCUGUGUCUAAUUCAGGGGGUCGGGGAAGUCCUAGUGAAACUUGGGGCCAAAGGAUCAGCAUUAUUUGAAGAAGGCCAAAAACCAAUUAGACAACCCAUAAUACCUGCUGCAAGAGUCAUAGACACUACAGGUGCUGGAGAUACUUUUACUGCUGCUUUUGCUGUGGCUUCGGUGGAGGGCAAGACAAAAGACGAGUGCCUUAGAUUUGCUGGUAUGGCUGUUGUUCUUAGUUUGCAUGUCAUCGUGAUUCUCAUUUUUUUUUAGUAAUUAUCAUAUGCAAAAAAUAAAGGGUGGUUCACUUAAAAUUUUAUAUAGCUACAGCUGCAUUUCUACAUGACCUUUAAGAAAAGAAAAUAAAAACUGAUUUGAUUGUGACUCACUCAAACAUUAUACAGCUGCAGCAGCUUCUCUUUGUGUGCAAGUAAAGGGAGCAAUUCCUAGCAUGCCUGACCGGACAGCAGUCCUGGAUCUUCUUCAAUCUGUGAGGGCAUCCUUUUGAUGAAAUGCAGAUCAGAGCUUACUUUCUGUAGUAAUAAAAAAUGCAUUUCUGGACUCUGCCAAAAGCAAAUAGCAUAUGUUGGAACAGAGCCUCAAUGGCUAUUUGUUUUAUGCAAUUUCAAGGCAAAAAGGGAGGGGAAGAAAAAAUGCGUUUUUUCGUCAGUUUCAAAAAACUGUAAACAUAUGUGCAUUAGCAGCUCAGAAGAAUGUGCAGUUUGCUCAAACUGGUAGAUUUCAUGUUGUUGCUUCCUAAUGUGGUUUAUUUAUUUAUUUUCCUCAUUCUCCCCUCUCUAAAACAGGUGCCUAGAUUCAUUCAUUUCAACUUUCCUUUUUUUUUUUCUGUUUAAAUGGAGGAACAUGACUGGCUUCUUUCUCUAUGCUUCUUCUCUUUCUUUGAGAUCCAUGCUUCAUUUAUGUUUUGGGACAUUUUUUUCUUUUGGUCAAAGUAGAAGAUGCUAUCUACCCCAAUAGUUUUGGAUAACUUUAGUUAUUUUGCGUAACAAAGCAUCAUUUGCUUAGUAUUAAUCCAUAUUCCUGAAUUUAAAUUUUAGUACAGAUCAUUAACAUUUCAUUAGUAAUAUUGAGCUAUGAUAGAACAAUGGAAUGUGCAAAGAUUUAGAGAUUUUUGCUAUGCGCAUUAGUUAUAUGAUUUAUUAACUCAAUGACAUGCUUUUUGGUAUGAUUGAUAAAUUUCCAACCCAUUUUCAGUCAUCUUUUUUAUUAUUUCAAUAAAUUACACGUGUGUUUUUUUCCAUUGAAGGACAUGAACAGGAAAUAUAAUACCAUAAUGCAAAAAAAAAAAAAAAAAAAAAAAAAAAAAAAAAACAAAAACAAAAAGAGAAUGAAGCUAGGCCUUGUUAAAGAAUAUCUGCCCACAAGAAAGAGCGAUGUAAAGAAUAAUAUAAGCGUAAGUAAGGAGUCCAUUCCGUUCUGCCAUUGCCUUAGCUGCUGCUGCUGCUACUUCUUCCCUCUAUUGAUAUUUGUUUGUCUCUCGUCUUGAGUCGAGUGUGCUCCUGAAGUUUGAUGCAUGCUUUGCUUCAAAUAGCAUUCAAGUAGUAUUCAAAAAUACUAAUAAAUCAAAAGAAAUUAAAUAUAUAGCUUAAUGUAAUCAAAUUGAUUUUAAAAAUUAAAAGGUUGUAAAAUUUAAGUUGAUCUGUAAAUUUAAAAUAAUAACUUAAAUACAAAACAUCUAAACAUAUUAUUAGAUCAAUUGUACAAGCCAUCCAUAUUUUCAUUAAAGAAAUUCUUAAUUUUCAUUUCAAAAUUAAAGAAUUAAAAAAAAUAAAGUCUCUUUAAUUUCGAGUUUAAUCAAAUCAAAUAGUUUUAUUUUAUUUUUUUUAAUUCCAAUUAUAAAAUGGACCCAUUUUAAUCAUGGUAUGAACGUGAAAAUUUUUUAAAAAAAACGAGUGUUUAUUUAAAAUAUUUAAUAACUCCAUUUAAAAUUAAAUAGAAUUUAUAAAUAUUAUUAUAUAUCACAAUAAAAAUAUUAUUAAAUUAAUAAUAAAUAUUUAAUUUAAAAUUAAUUAUAAUUUUUUUAAAAAUAAAAUAAAAAUUAAAAAAUAAAAUAUAAAAUUUUUAUAUCUACUUGAUGAUCUGAGAUCCAAUAGAAUAGGGUUUUACAAGGGUUUUGGUAUUGAAAAAUAAUCUUUCUUUCUGGGGAGGGGACUCCCCUUUUAUCCAUUUCGCUAUGCUUGCUGGUGACGUGUAAAGGCCUCUCCAUGAUUGGGACACGCGUCUCUGACAUACAGAUUCGGGCGUACGAGGGUAUCAGCCGCCUGCUCCAUGCGUAACGGCCUCUGAUUCUCCCCGUGCGUACGCUCGAGCGGAUCUGCUAGGCUGUCUGAGUGUGGCUCUGGAUACUGGGCUGGGCCGAGAGUCGGGCCGGACGCUGAGCCUGAGAGGAGAGGGCCUGCUGGUCGCGGACUGGGCCGGUCUGAGUGAAGAAGCGUGAUUGAGCCCGGCCUUGAAGGUUGAAUGAGUCAGGCUUGUUGUGCAUAUCAGGUGCGUGGGCCUCUAUGUUAUGGGCCUUUGGUUGUGGUCAAGCCCCUGGUCCGGGGUGAAGAAAUCCAGCGGUCAUCAAUUGCCCCUUCACCUUCUCGGUAGUUAUUGCUCCCACUGCCGAGGGGGUGAAUAUCAAGAACCAUUAUGACCGCGCCUGUUCGUGUUCAGGUGCCUUAAUAACAUCCUUUCAUCUUUCUGUCGUUGUGCAGUUUCCGAAUCCUAUCUGCUCUUUCCCCCUUCUGGUUUUUCUCCAUUCUUCGCGUUCUUUGCUGUCUUUGCUUUCCUGUCAUCAUUAUCUGGACAUAUCCUUUCUUUCCUUUUCCAUGACUAUCUUUUAAAAUUCUGACACCAUUAGCUUAGAGUCUAGCAUAGCUCUGCUCCGUGCUAAGGCCUCAGGCUCCGGGUAUAUAUCAACGCUAACUUUUCUUCAUUCUCAAAUCCUCUGCUGGAACAAGAGGUUCUUCCUUUCCAUUUCUCUGUCUGCUUCUUUCCUCCAGCGAGAUUGUUCUGAUGGUUCUGUUUUAUCUGCAAAGGAUCCAUUUGACGCCUUCUUCAAAUGGAAUGAGGUGAGCUUGAGUUUGUAUUGCUUUGUUGCCCCAGAGGUUUGUUUUAAUCUUGCUUUCAUCAUCUUGACGGAGAAUUGUUUCUGACUUGUCUCUGUUUUGAAACUUUUUGCAGUACCUGAGAUAAGAAUGGGUCAGUUCAAAAUUCUUGGAAAUUUGAUGUUACCUCUAAGGAGUCUGGACGAUGCUUUGGAGAUCCUUCUGGUAGGGCGGCCGAUGGGUGGGACUAUUCGGCAAGCUGCUGAGACUGUUUUACCCAGGUCGUCUGGCCGGCCUCCUCCUCUGUUUGUUGUCCGGGCUCCAAAGAGGUUCUGGGCUGUUGGGGAGUUUGCUCUAACUUUGCCGUCCCUCAAGAAAGAAAUUUCUCCGAUGCCCCUGUUAUCUUCUUUUGAUAUAAAUGGAAGUGGCGAGAAAGAUCAGCUUAUUGUUUCCUUCAGUGUGGGGUGCUUACGUUAUGAGGGACUGAGAUCAGCUGCGCUCAGUCAAGUCUCCAGCGAUUUCUUCGAAUGUAUGCUUUGUGAUCUCUUCGGUGUCGUAACUCGAAGACUUAUGUUUUUCAUGUGUGGUGCACGGCCGGCAUAUAAUAUCUGAACUUGUCCGAAUGUAUCGUGCAUCACACUUGGGUAACCGAACGUUUGCCUAGGGGAACAGUGAGAAAUGCUUAUGGGAAUCAACUUGUUCAGUUCCCUUAUAAUAACGAGACAGAGCUCAGCCGACCUGUAGAGCUCGCUUUCCGUACUAGGAUAGUCCCCGGAAUUAAGACUAAGAUAGUAGGGCAGAUGUCAGUGAUGUAAACGUAGAUGAUGAUGUAUGUGGUUAUGUAAAUCCUUUAAGGAUAGUCUUUCAUCCCGUAGUGUAGGCCUUUGUAACGUGCUGUAAUGUACUUUUUUUUUAAUGAAAUUCUUGUUUUUUACUCAUACUUGUUCAUUCUCUAUCAUGGAUGAAGUACUGAUACUGCUUUUCUUCGUAGCUUUAGCCAACUAAAUUUUGUUUCGUUUUUUCCGAGCUGAACUGACCAUAUUUCGUGAACUCUUGCUUUUAGUCGAUGAGCCGAGCUCCGGGCCUACUUAACCAACUGGACGGUCGGUUUACUUUUCUGAGCUUGACUAACCGACCUGUGAGCUCGGUCUUUACUUGAUGAAUUGAGCUUUGAGCCUCCUUUAGCCGACCGAGCUCUCAAGUUAUGUUUUCCGAGCUGGACUAAUCCGACCUGUGAGCUCGGUCUUUUAAUCCUUGAGUUGAUUUCUGAGUUCUCAGCUCUGUAUGAUUCCGAGGUGCCCUUGUCGCCUCUUUCCGAUCUCGCAGCCUUUGUUCAAUAACGAUAAAUCAAAUCUUAUAACUUUUUAAGUGAUGAGCAAGUCUGACCUUUAUCAUGCUCCCAUUUGCUUGUACUUUUGAGUCUUUUCUUGACUUGCCCCUCUGUUUCCUUGGUAUCUACCAUGGAGGUGGUGAAUUUUGCAGGUUGAGUUGUUCCUGCGGGCUAAGUUGCUCUGACUGGCGAGUUGGGCUUGUAUUAUGUAGGUGGCAAAUGGGCUUUUGAUUGAUGGGUUGUAAUCACGGAUCUGGCCCUUGACGGAUGUGGAGAAGCCCAGCGAUCAUCUUUUUGCCCCUUUACCUUCUCACCGGUUAUUUAUCUACCCGUUGAGAGGGUAAACUUCGAGAGUAAUUAAUGAUCGCGCCGCUCCAAGACAAAACUGUUCAGAUCAACGUUCCGUCUCAUUAUUGCCUGUCAUCUCGAAUCCCUUCUGUCUUCUGAAGAAACUAGCUCUUUUCUGCUCUCUGUCUUCCUGCAACUCCUUCCGCAUUUUUCACCCCAUUGUGUUCUCAGGUACGCUUCCUUGUUCUUCCAUGGCAAGUUCAAAGCUUCCUGAUGUUGGUAACCUUGAGUCGCAUAUUACACCUUCCAAUAUAACUAAGUAUAUUUCCCAGAGACUUUUAGAUGCUCCGUUGUAUUUCAUUCGAGCACCUCUUUCAAAUGAAAGGAUAGUCCUUCCUUACCCUCCCCCUCCGGGUUUGAUGGAUCCCCAAGAGGGUCGUCGUAUAGUGUUUUUCUUGAAGCAGAGAGAAUUCGGUCUGCCGUUUCCUUUUACCCCUUUCUUUAUUGAGGUCUUUGAAUACUUCGGGGUAACUCCUCGGAUGUUAUCCCCAAACUCCAUUUUGUUCAUGUCCUGUUUUGAGUCUAUCUGCCUGAGUUGGGGUUUUACACCCACGGCCUGUCUGUUUGUCACUUUUUUCCGUCUGGUUAGGGCGGUUCAAAAUUUCUAUUAUUUUUCCCCCCGUAGUGGGUUAUCUCUUUUCACGGGGUACAAGGACUCCAUAAAGGGAUGGGUGGAGAACUUCCUUGUGGCGGAGUUAAAAUUAGGGUCCGCCAGAACGUGGGAGGUGGAUCUAAGUUGGGGGGAGAUCUUUCCGGGUUGCAAUGAGCUGCCCCAAUUGAGUCUUAUUGAGCAGGUCGGGCUGCUUCGACUGACUUCCGUUGAGAGGAAGUAUGACAUCGAGAAGUGUAUGUUCGCGUCCAAUCUUAGGGAUAUCCGGGACACGGGUAUAAUGCCUUGUCCGACUAUUCUGUUUCUUCUUUGCUCAUAAUAUCGGAAAGUAUGCUGAUUCUUUAUAAUUUCGUUUCUUUUGCAGCUUCUGAGGUAAAGAUGGAUGACAUCAAGUUCUCCAAGAACUUUGUCCUGUCUCGGGAUAAUAUGCAUGCCAUUUUUGACGCCUUUGGGGAUGGGCGUUCAGUGACUGAGAUUGCUGCGGAGAUGGUUCAAGCUGCUUCCUCCAAGAAGGUUAGCCGACCUCCCGCCAAAGCUUCUUCUAGAACUUCGAAGCCGAGCUCUCGCAGCUUCAAGUCAUCUCGGUUGUCUAGCCGGGGUGGAUCGAGCUCGUCUUCGAAGCCUGCUGAGGGGUCUAGAUCUGCUCCAGCUUCCUCAGAGGUCGUGAGGGAAGCCUCCCUAGCUAUUGUGGAGCAGACCCAAGGUUCUGAUCAAGUGGAGCAGGGUAUUGCCCAUUCUCCUGGAGGGGUGUCAGGGGGAAAAUCUAAGUCCCCUGCUACUGAAGACAAAGAGGCCUCUGGGACAGGGAUGGAGAUCAUCCUCCUAGAUGACCAAAUCUCAGAGGUUUCUGCUCAAGAUGCCCCUGCCUCGUGAGGACUGGGCCUGAGGGAUCUGAGGGCGUUCCACCAAAGACCGGGGAUAAGCGCCCAGCCCCAUCCGGAACAUCUGCCCCAUCUCCAGCUCGGAAAAAAUCCAGGGCUGCCACAGGACCUUCUCCAGCUCUUCCUCCCCUUGGGAAGGAGAAAGGUGUUCCUGCUGUGCCUUCAUUGUCUCCUUCCGGCAACGUUCUGAACACAUCGGACAUUACCUCCGAGUCUCCGGCCAGUGCUGUCGCCGAACUUCUCAGAGAGCGAAUGUUCGACGGAAUUACAGAGGCUUCGGAUCCUCGUCUUCUUGCCCUGACUGGUCUUUUAGCCAGUUCUACCAAGGAGCAAGUGUCCUUCCGAUCUCGCUCUCGUGAGGANNNNNNNNNNNNNNNNNNNNNNNNNNNNNNNNNNNNNNNNNNNNNNNNNNNNNNNNNNNNNNNNNNNNNNNNNNNNNNNNNNNNNNNNNNNNNNNNNNNNNNNNNNNNNNNNNNNNNNNNNNNNNNNNNNNNNNNNNNNNNNNNNNNNNNNNNNNNNNNNNNNNNNNNNNNNNNNNNNNNNNNNNNNNNNNNNNNNNNNNNNNNNNNNNNNNNNNNNNNNNNNNNNNNNNNNNNNNNNNNNNNNNNNNNNNNNNNNNNNNNNNNNNNNNNNNNNNNNNNNNNNNNNNNNNNNNNNNNNNNNNNNNNNNNNNNNNNNNNNNNNNNNNNNNNNNNNNNNNNNNNNNNNNNNNNNNNNNNNNNNNNNNNNNNNNNNNNNNNNNNNNNNNNNNNNNNNNNNNNNNNNNNNNNNNNNNNNNNNNNNNNNNNNNNNNNNNNNNNNNNNNNNNNNNNNNNNNNNNNNNNNNNNNNNNNNNNNNNNNNNNNNNNNNNNNNNNNNNNNNNNNNNNNNNNNNNNNNNNNNNNNNNNNNNNNNNNNNNNNNNNNNNNNNNNNNNNNNNNNNNNNNNNNNNNNNNNNNNNNNNNNNNNNNNNNNNNNNNNNNNNNNNNNNNNNNNNNNNNNNNNNNNNNNNNNNNNNNNNNNNNNNNNNNNNNNNNNNNNNNNNNNNNNNNNNNNNNNNNNNNNNNNNNNNNNNNNNNNNNNNNNNNNNNNNNNNNNNNNNNNNNNNNNNNNNNNNNNNNNNNNNNNNNNNNNNNNNNNNNNNNNNNNNNNNNNNNNNNNNNNNNNNNNNNNNNNNNNNNNNNNNNNNNNNNNNNNNNNNNNNNNNNNNNNNNNNNNNNNNNNNNNNNNNNNNNNNNNNNNNNNNNNNNNNNNNNNNNNNNNNNNNNNNNNNNNNNNNNNNNNNNNNNNNNNNNNNNNNNNNNNNNNNNNNNNNNNNNNNNNNNNNNNNNNNNNNNNNNNNNNNNNNNNNNNNNNNNNNNNNNNNNNNNNNNNNNNNNNNNNNNNNNNNNNNNNNNNNNNNNNNNNNNNNNNNNNNNNNNNNNNNNNNNNNNNNNNNNNNNNNNNNNNNNNNNNNNNNNNNNNNNNNNNNNNNNNNNNNNNNNNNNNNNNNNNNNNNNNNNNNNNNNNNNNNNNNNNNNNNNNNNNNNNNNNNNNNNNNNNNNNNNNNNNNNNNNNNNNNNNNNNNNNNNNNNNNNNNNNNNNNNNNNNNNNNNNNNNNNNNNNNNNNNNNNNNNNNNNNNNNNNNNNNNNNNNNNNNNNNNNNNNNNNNNNNNNNNNNNNNNNNNNNNNNNNNNNNNNNNNNNNNNNNNNNNNNNNNNNNNNNNNNNNNNNNNNNNNNNNNNNNNNNNNNNNNNNNNNNNNNNNNNNNNNNNNNNNNNNNNNNNNNNNNNNNNNNNNNNNNNNNNNNNNNNNNNNNNNNNNNNNNNNNNNNNNNNNNNNNNNNNNNNNNNNNNNNNNNNNNNNNNNNNNNNNNNNNNNNNNNNNNNNNNNNNNNNNNNNNNNNNNNNNNNNNNNNNNNNNNNNNNNNNNNNNNNNNNNNNNNNNNNNNNNNNNNNNNNNNNNNNNNNNNNNNNNNNNNNNNNNNNNNNNNNNNNNNNNNNNNNNNNNNNNNNNNNNNNNNNNNNNNNNNNNNNNNNNNNNNNNNNNNNNNNNNNNNNNNNNNNNNNNNNNNNNNNNNNNNNNNNNNNNNNNNNNNNNNNNNNNNNNNNNNNNNNNNNNNNNNNNNNNNNNNNNNNNNNNNNNNNNNNNNNNNNNNNNNNNNNNNNNNNNNNNNNNNNNNNNNNNNNNNNNNNNNNNNNNNNNNNNNNNNNNNNNNNNNNNNNNNNNNNNNNNNNNNNNNNNNNNNNNNNNNNNNNNNNNNNNNNNNNNNNNNNNNNNNNNNNNNNNNNNNNNNNNNNNNNNNNNNNNNNNNNNNNNNNNNNNNNNNNNNNNNNNNNNNNNNNNNNNNNNNNNNNNNNNNNNNNNNNNNNNNNNNNNNNNNNNNNNNNNNNNNNNNNNNNNNNNNNNNNNNNNNNNNNNNNNNNNNNNNNNNNNNNNNNNNNNNNNNNNNNNNNNNNNNNNNNNNNNNNNNNNNNNNNNNNNNNNNNNNNNNNNNNNNNNNNNNNNNNNNNNNNNNNNNNNNNNNNNNNNNNNNNNNNNNNNNNNNNNNNNNNNNNNNNNNNNNNNNNNNNNNNNNNNNNNNNNNNNNNNNNNNNNNNNNNNNNNNNNNNNNNNNNNNNNNNNNNNNNNNNNNNNNNNNNNNNNNNNNNNNNNNNNNNNNNNNNNNNNNNNNNNNNNNNNNNNNNNNNNNNNNNNNNNNNNNNNNNNNNNNNNNNNNNNNNNNNNNNNNNNNNNNNNNNNNNNNNNNNNNNNNNNNNNNNNNNNNNNNNNNNNNNNNNNNNNNNNNNNNNNNNNNNNNNNNNNNNNNNNNNNNNNNNNNNNNNNNNNNNNNNNNNNNNNNNNNNNNNNNNNNNNNNNNNNNNNNNNNNNNNNNNNNNNNNNNNNNNNNNNNNNNNNNNNNNNNNNNNNNNNNNNNNNNNNNNNNNNNNNNNNNNNNNNNNNNNNNNNNNNNNNNNNNNNNNNNNNNNNNNNNNNNNNNNNNNNNNNNNNNNNNNNNNNNNNNNNNNNNNNNNNNNNNNNNNNNNNNNNNNNNNNNNNNNNNNNNNNNNNNNNNNNNNNNNNNNNNNNNNNNNNNNNNNNNNNNNNNNNNNNNNNNNNNNNNNNNNNNNNNNNNAUCCUCACCGGCCGUUCCGGGGUGACCUCGGAGCCCCGCCGGCAGUUUUUUGUUUUGUUUUUCCGGGAGUUCUAGGGGAUCCCGGUCUUCAUGCUCCGGGAGGCAUCUUUAAGAUCCUCACUGGCCGUUCCGGGGUGACCUCGGGGCCCCGCCGGCAGUUUUUUGUGUCUUCUUGAGGUGUUUGCACAAGAUUCAGGCUCAUUGGCCUUAUUGUCGCUUCGUCAUCUCAGCUGGUUUUGUGCCUAACUGAGGUCUUGUUUCAAGAGAUCUUUCUGAGCCCUGUUCUUUCUUUUUCAUGGAGGAAUGUUAACUUUUUAUUUACUCAUUUUUGUCCAAAUACAAUGUUUUUCUUUACAAAUAUUUCAAGGGAAAUACCUUUCUAGGUGCUGGAUGUUCCAAGCGUGGGGCUCGGGGUUUCCUUGCAUAUCUUCGAUUCGGUAUACCCCUGGCCUGACCACUUUUGUCACCUUGAAAGGACCUUCCCAGGUCGGUGCUAACUUGCCCGCGGCCACUCUUUUUCCUGUAGCUUCCAGGUUUCUUAAGGUCAGGUCUCCCACUUUUAAGCUUCUUUCUCUGACCUUUUGGUUGUAAUAUCUCGCUGCUCGUUGUUGAUAAGCGGCAGUUCGGACUUGGGCUUCUUCCCUGAUUUCCUCAAGAGCAUCCAGGUUGCUUCUUAAUUUAUCCUCAUUAGUAUUCUCACUAACGAAUUGGACUCGAUGAGUGGGGAUCUGCAAUUCAACUGGGACUACGGCUUCUGUGCCAUAAGCAAGUGCAAACGGUGUUUCUUUAGUGGGCGCUCUGGGAGUGGUUCGGAGUGCCCAUAGUAUGCUAUUGAGUUCUUCUGCCCAAUUCUCCUUUGCGCCAUCCAGCCGUUUCUUUAAUCCUUGAAGGAUAGCUCUGUUAGUGACUUCUGUUUGGCCAUUAGUCUGAGGAUGAGCCACGGAGGAGAACUUAUGCCAUAUGCCCAUGUUCGUCGUGAAGGCUCUGAAAGUGCUGCAGUCAAAUUGUCUGCCGUUGUCUGAGAUAAGUACUCUAGGUAUGCCAAAUCUGCAAAUGAUAUGUCCCCAUACGAAAUCUAUCAUCUUGCGAGCUGUGAUUGUGGCUAUUGCUUCUGCCUCUGGCCAUUUCGAGAAGUAUUCCACAGCCACCACCACGAAUUUCCUUUGCCCCGUAGUCUUGGGGAAAGGUCCCAGGAUGUCGAUUCCCCAUUGUGAGAAAGGCCAUGGACUGGAUAUGCUUGCUUGAGGAGUGGCAGGGGUUCUGAUGGCGUUAGCAAAUCUCUGACAUACGUCGCACCUCCGGACAAACUCUUCUGCUUCUUUUUUAACAGUGGGCCAGUAGUACCCUUGCCUAAAUAUUUUGUUGGCUAAUGUCCCUGCUCCCUCGUGAGCCCCACAUAUGCCUCUAUGUAUUUCCUCCAUUACCUUUGCAGCUUCUUCCGGACUCACACACCGGAGCCAUGGGCUGGACUUCCCUUUUCUGUAUAAGGUUCCCCUUAUUGCUUGGUAGUUGGCAGCACGAGCUGCUAUCUUUCUGGCUUCAUCUUUAUCUUCGGGGAGCUCACCCUCCUCCAAGUAUCUCAGGUAUGGGGUCAUCCAAGUUGGGCUCUGUUCUACCUGCAAUACCGUGUUUGUCUUUUUAAAAGCAGGUGUACAGACAUGCUGUAUAUAUACUUCAUCGGGAAGCUGUUCUAACUCCUCUUUGGUCAACCGACUAAGCAGGUCUGCUUCCUCAUUUUCAUCCCGAGGUAUUCUUUGAAAUCUGACGAUGACUCCCCGACCCGUGAGCUCGGCUUCUACAGUUUUUACUUUAUCAAGAUAGUUCUGCAUGAUGGGGUCCCUAGCCUGAUAUACUCCCGUCACCUGGUUGAUCACCAACUGAGAGUCGCUAUUCACCUCGAGGUCGGUUACCCCUACCUCCGAAGCACUCUUGGUUCAGAAGACCUUGUUUGCAUCUGCUCCUGAUAAGGGGAAGGUUUCCAACUCUCCAACUGGCUCUGUCCGGGCUUCUUUUGUUUCAUCUCUGACCUCCAGAACUUCCGAGUCGAGUGCUUCUCCAGUUGAGCUCGGCUCUGUUACUGUGGCCAAGUAUACCGCCCUUGCUUCUUCCUGGCUGCCCCAGACCAUUCCUACUCCUUCUUCCGUUGGGAACUUGAGUGCCAAAUACCUGAUGCUAGUGACAGCUUCAAAGUCGAACAGCGCCGGUCUCCCCAAAAUCGCAUUGUAGCUCAGUGGGAGUUUGACCACCAAAAACACCUCAUGAUGGGUGCGAGCUCUGGGUGCUUCUCCCAAGGUAAGAGCCAGCUUCACCUUUCCUUCUACAAGUACCGGUGCUCCUCCGAUCCCCUUGAUUGGUGACUGGUCCCGAACCAGCUGUUCCUCUGGAAUUCCCAUCUGCUGAAACACUCGAUAUGGCAGCAAGUUGACUUUACUCCCAUCAUCCACUAAGACCUUCUUUACCCGAUAAUUAUGAAUGACGGCUUCAAUGACAAGCGCGUCAUCAUGGGGCAUCUGAAUACCCUGAGCAUCUUCUGAGGAGAAAGUGAUGAUCAUGGGAGAGUGGUCAACGAUUUGCAUGACUUCACUAUUGCUGGUCUCUCCUUCCCGGUUUCUCUUCUUUCCUCGACGGCUCAUCCGUCCUCCCGUUCCUCCAACAAUCAUGUGGAUGGUCCCACUAGACCCAUCAUUCACUGGUCCAGCUCCUAUUCUCCUAGGCGUCUAAGUUGUCGGACCAGGCUGAGGCCUCUGUCCCUCUGGUUUCUUCACAAAAUUUUUGAGGUGCCCCCUUUUUAUCAGCCUCUCAAUCUCCGCGAUUAACUGAAAACAGUUAUUCGUAUCGUGCCCAUGGCUCCGGUGGUACUGACAAUACUUGUCAGGAUUUCUUUGAUCUGCUUCCGACUUUAUGGGUUUAGGCCACUGGAGGAACUCCUUAUCCUGGACCGCCAUGAGCACUUCGGCUCUGGAAGCGUUGAGGGGGGUUGGUUUCUCGGGAACCCAAGGAGGGAGCACUCUUGGUUCAGGAGCCCGAGGAGGAGGAGGAGGCCUUUGAUCCCUUCUCUCCCAGGCCUGUUUGUACGGCUCAGGCCUCUUUCCAUGUUUCUUCUCGUGUCUCUCCGGUCUCCUCUCCUCCGGGGCUUUCUCUUUUCCUGCCAUCCCUUUAGCAAAUCUACUCGUCACUAAGGCGUCAUCCUGCCUUAUAUACUUCUCCGCCCUCUUCAUCAACUCAGCUAGUGAGGUCGGAGGUUUCCUGCUCAAAGAACCAAAGAACUCGGCAGAGGUUGUUCCCUUUUGCAUGGCCUCCACCGCCCUUCCUUCAUCCAGCUCGGGAAUCUGCAGGGCCUCCGUAUUGAAGCGGGCGACAUACUCUCUGAGUGAUUCACCUUCUUUCUGUUUCACUGUUUCUAGAUAGCUCGUCUUCCUAUCUGCUGGCACCCCGGCUAUGAACCGGCUGAUGAAGCGGGUGGCAAGAUCUCCAAAACUUUUAAUGCUUCCGGCCUCCAGGCUGUUGAACCACGCCCGCGCUGGUCCCGAGAGCGUUGUUGGGAACACCUUACACAUUAAGGCAUCUGACAGGGUUUGCAACUCCAUGAAGGUCUUAUAGUUCAUGACAUGCUCUCUCGGGUUACCAGCUCCAUUAUAGGCCGCCAUCGGCGGCAUCAUAAACUUCUUGGGAACGGUCUCCUGCUGCACUAUCUUUGAGAAGGGAGAAGAAGUGGGCAAGGAGGUUUGGCUCUGAUCUUUCUUACCUAGCUCGGCUAAGAGAUGCUCUUUCAACCUUUUCAGCUUUUGGUUCAUUUUCUCGUCUUCCGGGCUGGAUCCUUUGCCCCAGCUGUAUUCCUCCUCCUCCGUUUCAGUUCCCGUUUCCCUGGUUGUUCCGGCAGAAUAGUUGUCCGCCUCCUCAUUUUCUAUCAACUCUCUUGCCCUUCUCCCAUGGAUUCGGGCCUCCGAUUCUUCCUCUUCCCCGGCAUCGUGGCUGUUAGUUUGGAGGCGGUCAGAGGUAGGUCGGGGUUCAUUGGUUCUGGGUUCCUCCACUACUGGGAGUGCAUUUACUGGGGUGCUAAGGCCCCUCUGUUGCAUUAUUUGCCCCAACCAGUGAGCAGUAGUCUGUAGCUGGAGAGCCAUGGUUUGAAUGUCCUGGUUAGACAGAGUCACGGUGGGAGUAUUCCCUGCCAAGCUUGGCGAGGGAUUAAGAGGAAUAGGCGUUUGGUUAUUCAACGUUGUAGGGCUAGAAAAGGAGAACUGCUGCCCAUCUUGGGCAGAACUCAGGUCAUUUGGAAUGUUAAGGUUACUUUCUUGGUGAUUUGCCAUCGUGGAUCUCAGUGGGUUUUGAAAGUGAAAACUCCGGUGAUGAAAAGAUCUCCUUCGUUUCCCACAGACGGCGCCAAUUUGAUGAUCUGAGAUCCAAUAGAAUAGGGUUUUACAAGGGUUUUGGUAUUGAAAAAUAAUCUUUCUUUCUGGGGAGGGGCCUCCCCUUUUAUCCAUUUCGCUAUGCUUGCUGGUGACGUGUAAAGGCCUCUCCAUGAUUGGGACACGCGUCUCUGACAUACAGAUUCGGGCGUACGAGGGUAUCAGCCGCCUGCUCCAUGCGCAACGGCCUCUGAUUCUCCCCGUGCGUACGCUCGAGCGGAUUUGCUAGGCUGUCUGAGUGUGGCUCUGGAUACUGGGCUGGGCCGAGAGUCGGACCGGACGCUGAGCCUGAGAGGAGAGGGCCUACUGGUCGCGAACUGGGCCGGUCUGUGUGAAGAAGCGUGAUUGAGCCCGGCCUUGAAGGUUGAAUGAGCCAGACUUGUUGUGCAUAUCAGGUGCGUGGGCCUCUAUGUUAUGGGCCUUUGGUUGUGGUCAAGCCCCUGAUCGGGGUGAAGAAAUCCAGCGGUCAUCACUACUUAAAUAUAUUUAUUAUCAAAUUAAAUAUCUGAGCUUAAAAUUAAUCCCAGUUUAAAGUUAAAUAUAUACUUUUAAUUAAAAUAUAUUUUUUUGAAAUAUAAAAUUUAAUUAUUAUGUAUAAUAUGCUCAAUUAUUAUUAUUAUUUUUAAAUUUUUAAUAAUUCACAAUCCACAUAAAAUUAUGAGUUAAUUAAUGAGGGAGGCCGCAGAGCCAGAAAAUGAGAUAGGGAGGGGCGGAAAGGAGGAGGAAAAGUAAGAAUCCAGAGCAAGUCGCAACAAGAUCCAGAGCCAACCAAAACCCGUUUUUCAAAUUUUGGGGCUUUGGUAGGGCUGCUUCUGCAGUAUCUAAUCCAGCAGGCAAUGCCCAUAAUUUAACUUUUUCCAUUGUUGCUUUAUAAUAAUCCAUCCUUCGCGAUGCGAUUCGAGUCCGCGGCGGUCGUCGACGAGCAACGACUUCGCAACGGUUGUCGUUUUAAAUGAAGAGGGAAGUACAACAUCAUCAUCGUCUUCUUCUUCAUCAUCAUCGAAUUAUUGAUGGUGUUGAUGAAUGGGAUUUCAAUUGCAGAUGAAUUGGCAGCCAAGUUUACUGAGUCAAAAAAGGAAGAACGGUCCGCCUUUAGGGUUGAGAAAUCUUGGCAACUCUUGCUAUCUCAAUAGCGUCCUUCAGUGCCUCACUUACACACCUCCCCUCGCUAAUUUUUGUCUACGUUUACAACACUCUUCUCUCUGUAUGUUCAAUUUUUGAUAAGGAGCUUUACCCAUUUCUUUAUUUGCUUCAAUUUCAAUGCUAAUCUUCCUCCUUUUUUUUUUUGGAAGGUGAUUCGGUUUCCAACGGGGAGCGGAAGCGUGAGUGUCCUUUUUGCAUACUGGAGAAACGGAUAGUCCGUUCCCUAAGCCUGGACCUAAACCUUGAUGCCCCAGCUAAGAUCCAGAGCUGUCUCAGGAUUUUUGCUGAGCAUUUUCGGUGCGGUCGCCAAGAGGAUGCACAUGAGUUCCUGCGUUAUGUCAUUGAUGCUUGCCACAAUACCUGCUUGCGUCUCAUGAAGCUGCGGCGCAAGGGGAUUGACUCCAUUAAUGGCAGCAACACUGUUGUUAAGGAGAUAUUUGGGGGUGCUUUGCAGAGCCAGGUGAAGUGCUUGUCAUGUGAUUCUGAGUCCAAUAAGGUUGAUGAGAUUAUGGACAUUAGUCUCGAUGUUUUGCAUAGUAAUUCGCUUAGAGAAGCAAUGCAAAAGUUUUUCCAGCCUGAGAUUUUGGAUGGAAGUAAUAAGUACAGAUGUGAAAGGUAAGCAGUUCCUAUAACUAAUUCGAUACUUUUGAAUUAAUGUUGAUGGCGUGGCUUAUACAAGUAAGAGGCUUAUGCUUGUUUAGUUGUAAGAAAUUGGUGACAGCAAGGAAGCAAAUGUCAAUUCUUCAAGCACCUAAUAUCUUGGUAAUCCAACUGAAGGUGGGUCAGCUUGGUUUCUUUAGUUUUCUUGAUUGUUUGUUGCUAUUAAGCUUGCAGUUGCUCGCUGGUGUUGCUUUUUACUAAAAUGGUUAUCGAUAUAUUUGGUGGUAGCAGAGAUUUGAAGGCAUAUUUGGUGGCAAGAUUGAUAAGGCUAUUGCAUUUGAAGAGGUUCUGGUACUUUCAAACUUCAUGUGCAAAGGAAGCCAGGUAUUGGCAAUUAGAUAAAGAAGUCAUUUGGUUAUGUUGGUGUAGUCGUUGGACUAAGUUUAUUCAACUUACUAUUUAUAAAAAAAAUUAAUAUUUGCAUAAACACAUGCACAGGCAUACAUGGAAGCUACUUUGAGGUGACUUGCAUAUGCACAGAGAACCAAAAUUCAGUAGUUCAAAAUUGAGCACUGAAUGGAGAUAGUAGAAAAUUACAGUAUCUAUAUGAGCAAAAUUAAAUAUGUACUAAGAGAUAGAAAUCGGCAUAUCAUUCUUAAAAAGUGCAAUUAGAUGUAUAAUAUACAACUAUUACUGUAUUUGCAAAGAUGUAAUCUGUGACUGACUUCCUUAACCACCUUGUGCAUUUCCUUCAUGCCUCAACAAUAUGCUGCCCCUCUACCCACCUCCUCCACUUUUAUUUAACAACGUGGCUCAAGUUUCACUAUGAUAGCUUCCAAAGCUAAAAUCCAGGGAUGACUAGGCUUCUCAAACAGUUGCAAUACUUAUGGUGUAACCACGGAAUUAUAUCCAACAAAUUUUUGAAGGUUUAUGGAUGUACCCAUAGAUAAAGCUUUGCAACAACCGGUGGAGCUUGCUUGCAUGACAAUAUUCAUCCACAAAUUAUAAUAACAUUUGUAGUUGUCAAAAUCUUGUCUGAAAAGCCUGCCUAACGAUGUGAAUUGCCAUAGGAGCAAUUGAAUUAUAAGCUAUUGAUUUUCCCAGCUCAUAAUGUGGAAAAGAUGAUCUAGAAGAUACGUGUUAAAUUUUUUAAUAUUAUGCCUAGCAAAAAGUUUUGAGCUAUCUUCAAAAUGCAACUUGCAAGAGUGAACUGGUAAUCUUAAUCUAACAAUUUGACCUUGCUUUGGGCCCCAGAGCCACCAGUACUUUACUGGGGCAAGGCAGAUCAACAUCACAAAGGCACAUGUAUUGUUGCCUAGGCAUGCCUCUUUUGCAAGGCGCAAGGCAUGAAAGUGGUGUGCCUUACAAUCCUCCACUUCUGUGGUGUUCUCUUACUAAUAAAAAGCUACCACCGCACCACUAGACUUGCAACUUUUUAUAUGCCAUAACUCAGUGCACCAGAAAGUCAUUGGAAACACUGUUGCCAGUGCUUAGAAGUUGAAUUAUGCUAGAUGUCUAGCUGCAUAAUUGCCUGUUGUGACACUCCUAUUUCCAACAUCUACAUGCUUUGAAUCUCACAAGAAAAAUGAUUACCAUCACAUCUAGUCCUCUCUCUGUAGCUUUCAAGUCUCAGCCCUCCCUCUCUCCCAUUUUUUGUUCUCUGUUUUUACCCUCUUUUAUUUUCCAUGGAUUUUGAAAUUUGAACAACUUCCCUUGUUUUUCUGUUUGGUCACUCUGAUAUAUAUAUAUAUAUAUAUAUAUAUAUAUAUAUAUAUAUAUAUUUUCUUCUACUUGUUUGUUUAAGCAAAUAAAAGUAGUACAAUCAAUUGGAAAAUUUGCACAAAUAUCAUAUCAGUUAUAUAUAUAUAUAUAUAUAUAUAUAUAUAUAUUUCUUCUAUUUAUUUGUUUAAGCAAAUAAAAGUAGUACAAUCAAUUGGAAAAUUUGCACGAAUAUCAUAUCAGUUGUUAAAGCAUAUGGAUCAUUGCAAUGUUUGUUAGAACUUGAUGUCAUUUCCACUUAAGAGAAGAGGAAGAAAAAAGUUCUAGCCUUAAAUUUGUAUACUUUUCAUUUUCUACUUGUAACUUCUCCAUAUGGGCCUGAAAAUAAAGUCUUUCAGCUCUAUUCGUAUGCAUGUAAUGUGUGCAUAUCUCAACAAAUUGACAAGUUUUUUUUAACUGUGAUUGUCGAGGUGCUAAUCAUUUGUGGUAUUUUUUAUCUUUGGCGCACUUUUAUGUCAUUUAUAGUUAGAUUUUAUAUAAUGGUAGCCAUCUUAAUAUGUUGAAUUUGUUCGUCUGAUAUUGAUUUUGAAGCUUUGGCAAAUUUAGAUUUCCUUUUUGCCUAAAUGAAACUUAUUCCUGUGAACCUAGACAUUAGGACCCUUUAUGCCUUAGUGAACCUUGCCCCUUUUAAUACCCAUGGUCCACUAUCUGUCAGUUAUCUGAGAGGUUUAGCUGUAGCAAUGAAACAAGUAUAUAAUGGUUUCUUACAUCUAAAAUACUAGUUUUUUAGUGGCUACAACCUGGAUGUUUGAAGAUUACUAUUUAAUAUAAACCAUGAAUCAAUCCCCAUCAGCUGCUGUGUUACCUGUUUAUGAUCUCUGUAGUAUAUUUCUUACCUGUUCUUGCUUCUACAUUGUGUGCAACAUAAAUGAAAAGAAGCUUAGUGCGUGAAGGGGUCUUUCCCUCUCAUUAUUCUCCUCUCAUCAUUGUCUUCACUGUCCCGCCAAUCCCUAAACAGAAUGGGUGUUGUUGAUUUAUGAUUUGUUGUUCAUUUAUUUGUGAGAAUUUUUGUUUAUUUAUUAAGAAAAACACUGAAUGGGUCAUGGGUGUUAUUGAUUUUAAAUGCUUUAUUGUAUACUUGCUGUUUAUAUUAUUAUAAGUAUGAAUGUUAAUCUGUGUACAUUAUAUUUAUAUGCAUAUAUCUAAAAUAUAUAAAAAAAAAUUUUAGUUUCUGUCGUCUUUUUCAAAAAGACGUCGCCUCGCCUCUCACCUCUCCUAAGGGAUAAGAGACCUUGUCAUCUUAGUGUCGUCUCUUGCCUUGAUAACACUUGCGGCUCAAGUGUAAUAUCUGGGAUCCAUUUGAUCACCUCUACAAAUGCACAUAAGAGUUUUGAGGUUUAAAUAAGGAAUAUAGUGUAUGUAAGAUCCCAAAUAUUAAUGAGAUCUGAAAUUUAUCUAGGACAUAAAAUGCAUAUAUAUAUGGUUUAACUUGGGUAGAUGAGGAUUUGGAAAAAAAAAAUGAAGAUGUAUAUGAAUUUGACAUUACAUUGGUGUUUACUGUUUAGUGAUAUUACAUAUGAAACACAAAUCUAAAUCUCCCUUCAUUCCAAAUGCACACCUAUGUAAAUGAACCCUAAAGUAAAGUCUCUUUGACUGCUUGGCAUAUGUUUCAUCCACAAUAUCGUCUCAAUGACCAUGGUUCAUUUUGGCUUGCUAUAUUUGAUCUGGUGGCUUUUUUCCUGUAUAUUUAUGUUUUUUUUUUCCCCUCAUCUAGGAUCCACGGCCAGAAUAUAAUCUUUUUGGCACCAUUGUGCAUUCAGGAUACUCGCCAGAAUCUGGUCACUACUAUGCAUAUAUAAAGGCCUGAGUUCUCCUGCUCUUUUAAAUUUCUUCAAUUUUUUGUUUUUAAGUUUUAUGUCUGAGAAGAACAACUAUAUCAAUUAUGUGCUGAUAUUGUUUCUAUUAUGGAUGUGCAGGAUGCAAUGGGUCGGUGGUAUUGCUGUAAUGAUUCAUAUGUGACCCUUUCAACACUUCAGGAUGUUUUGUCAGAGAAAGUCUAUAUACUUUUCUUCUCUCGUGCUAACCAAAGGCCAGUUUCUGCCGGUGCCACAUUUAUUGCCAAUGGAGUAAAAUCAAGCAAUCUCAAUGGCAGUGAGGCAUAUAAAAGUCCAAAGAUGUCAGUUGCACCAAAAGCUGUGCCUACAAAACACAGUGUUAAACAAUCUUCACCCAGUGAUAUUCCAUCCAUGUCUAAGGUUCAUAAAGUGCCUUCUAGUCCUCAGAUAAAGUUCAAUAUUUUUGGGAACUCUAGCUCCAGAAGGGUUCCUACAACUGUUGACAGAAAGGCCGACACUUACAAGAGUCAAAACAUGAAAAUGAAUUGGGAUGAAAAGGGGACAGUUCAUACAGAGAAACAUGACAAAGAUGUAUCACCAGUGGUAAAUGGAAAUGGUUGCAACAAAAACAGAACAGUUCAUGCUGAGACCUGCCCAGCAAUUGCAGUUUCAAGUGAAAACAGUGUCACUCAAAAUGGUGCCUUCGACUCAGAAAAGGUGAAUGGAUAUGAAGCUACUUGUUCUAUGGGCAGAACAACAAUGGAAAAGGGGUCAAAUCACCUUGAAUUGCAGAAUGGUGGAGAGAACGGGAAUUCUGGCAACUCAGAGUUGAAGAGGAAAUCAAAGGAGGAUAAAUUCAUUUUAUUUGCACAGGAUUCUCAUUCUCAAGCCAAAGUUGAAGAGUUGAAAGAAGUGUACGUAAAUUUCUAUCUUUUACCUUUGCUAAUCUUCCUUAUCUGAAUUAUGGUAAUAACGAUAUGGUGAAGAACUGUAUCACUAAAUUUGCCAAAUUAUAUAUUUGAUUGUAUUUUUGGUGAUUUAUGUUUACAAAUUUUUGAGUUCUGAUUUUUCCUCAAUUUGGAUCCUAUACUUGAAGUUCAAGUAAAUUACACUAAUGAUCACUGAAUUGUGUAGUUGUUAAAAACAAUCAUUUUUGCUGUGACUAAACGACUAAAGUUUUAAUUCCUCUUAGGUCUAAUUGAACAAAAUUUGCCAAUCAGUUAAUUGGAAAUUUGAUAGGGAGUGUGUGUGUGUAUGUGUGUUGAUUGUUUUCUUAAAUUAAUUUCUGGCUGUUGGAGUUCACAAGAUCAACUCAUAGUGUUUUUCUCUCUCCUUACCAGCUAAAGGUGUAAUAAAAAAACAUUAUUAGUUGGUCUUAUGGAUCCCAAUUGAUUUGGGAUUAGUUUAAGAAAACAAUAGCAAAUAUACAUGUUAGAUUUCCAUUCACUGCUGGUUCGCUAGGAUUUAUUCAAUUAGAUCUAAUCAAAAUGAAUUUAAAGUUCAUUGCCUUGAUUGUAAUAAAUUGUUCUUUUGUAACCACAAUAGAAAUUAGUGAUUAAUUUAGGGGUGACUCUUGCUGCCAUUUAUCACUAAAGUUCACUCCUACUCCAUAAUAUUUUCUAUGAAGUUUGGAUUUUGUCUCCCAUUAUCGGAGCUGCUAUCCAGAAAAAUAUCAUGUCAAAUAUGUUGAUUAGAGGCCAUUAGAAAUUGUCCUUGACAUGUAUUGGUUAUAAAGAACUCCAAAAAUCUAAAUAAAGGUUCUGUAUUUUUUUUCCAUCUUCCAAAAAGGUGCUUUUGAGAAAGCAUGUUCAAUCCCAAUGCCAUGUAGAAGUCCUUAAAAUGUUUGAUAUUGAAUCAUGCCAGACUUCCAAGUUAUCAUUUUAAAGGCCAUAUAUGUUGCAAUAUCUGUUUAGUAAAUUUAUUGAUGGGCAGUUUUAUGUAUUAUUUGUGGGGGAAUGGAAACAUUCAAAUUUUUAGAUCAUGUGGAUGUUAAUGUCUGCAUGUUAAGCAUUUGAUCAGUCUUGUCCAUCUGUGUUUUUUUGUUCAUUUAUGUUCAUACUAAAUGUCCCAGGCUCAAGCAAGAAGCUUCUUCGGGUUUGCGAUCCUGUGGUUGGUCUAAUAAGGUAUACAGUUUUAUGUGCUCAAGGAAGAGGUUAUGUGAACGAGAAGAAAGGAACACCUCAGGUGAUAUUGAAUUAAAGUAAGUGUUGUUUAAUUAACUUUUCUAAAGAUAAAUUCCUUGUAAAAUAUUGUCUACUGGCAUUGACCAUUUUUCUCUCAUGCAUUUUAUCUAGCAUGAUGAUAACCUGUUUAUUGUAUCUUACAAUCAUCAAUAGAAGUCUUCUGAUACAUACCUUGGCUUGCAGGAAGCUGUUGAUUGCAGAGGCCAAAUCAACCUUUAUUUCACAGAUACCCGAAUCAUUGAAAGAAGAUCUAGUCAAACAUCUUCGGUCAUUAAGCCAAGAGAAGUGACAUUCUGAGUUAAUGAUAAUUAAGGAGGUACUUUUAUUACUUUGCUUAAUUUCAGAACUUUGCGGGUUGGUUCCAUAACACGGGUUAUGAAUUUUUUUGCAGUCUCUCGAUGGUUGUUGGUGACUCCAUGUACAAACUGUAUGACUAAUUGAUGAAACAUCAUUUUUGCGGAAGACAAUAACUGGGGUGUUUCCUAAUUUGUCUAUUUGAGUAAAUGUUCCCAGUUGCAGCAAGAGGUUAUUAAACAGCCUUCUAUUUUUUUUAAUUUUUUUUUCUUUUCCCUUUCUAUUGUUAUAUUGUUGUACUGGUAGGUUCCCAAUGGGUGGUGUUUAGAUGAAAGGGCCGAGUUCAAAUCCUGCCAACAUAUUUCUUCCUUAAGGCUUGAAAUUUGGUUUUGGUGAACUGAAGAAUCUCAUAGAUUUUGUACUAUAUCCUUUUUGGUAGCAUCUUUUAAUGUACCAUCCUGAGUUAAUGGGAUGAGCACAACAAUUUUCCAUCGAAAAGUGUCCAGAUAGUCCUGGCGUGAAUAUAUAUCACCAUUGAGUUAACCCCCCCGAAUGUGACCCUCGCUGAAGCAGGUGAUUUGUGCUCUUCUGGUUAAUUAUACAUAUUGUUUAUUUCCGUUAAAUUUGUGGUGCAGUGGUGUUUUUCUUUACCAAUCUGUUGUUGUUGGCUAGUUUUAUAAAUUGGCUCAUUCACAUGGCGGAAUAAAUCAUGAGUUUUAAAUGAUAAUAACCAUAUAGAUGAAGACUCUUUUGCAAAGUAAUAAUGAACGUAAAAUUGGUUUUCGUAAGAUAUUGAUAUGUUUUUUUUUUUCCUUUUUUGGAAGAAAGCUUGAUGUACUUUGUGGAUAGAAAUUCCAAAUAAUUCUUCCCCCUUUUUUAAAGCAGCAGUUUGCUCUAGUAAGGGAAUGAGUAAGUUUAUAGAGUAGAAGCCUAAGCGAACAAAACCUGCAAAACAUAUUAAACCUGUUAUAAUUUAAACUCAUGGAUCGAACCAUUCAAAUUAAAUUAAAGCUUUUCAAUGCUACUAGAUAACAGGUGAAACACUGAAGAGUUAUAAUUGUGCUUUACCCUGAUCAUCCUCUUCGAUGCAGCCAAGAUAGGCUAAAGAAGGCUAGAAACUACAAAGACUCCAGAAGUGAAGAAGUCCAGGCUUCAUCAGUUUUUAUGAGGCAACCGUGUGGAGGUUGAAUAUUCUUAAAAUGCUAUCCUUUCAACAUGCAAUGAGGCCUCUCUUCAAGUCCACAAUUCGUUUGUCAAUUAAAAAAUAGUAAUAAUAAUAAUAUUGUUAAGGACAUGUUUUAAAUUAUGAUAACUUACUAUUAGAUUAUUGCACUUUAGAAAAUUAACCAUUUAAUUUUUAUUAUUUAAAAUGUAUUUAUAUUUUAUAAACAUUAAUUAUUUUAAUCAUUUUUAAAUAAAAAUUUUUAAUCAAAUUACUUCAAUAUUGGUCGUAAGGCUAAAAUAGUAUGAAUAGUUAAAUAUAAAAAUUAAAAUAAGUUCAUAGAAUUGAAUUUUUAAAAUAUUGAAAAUAUUUUAAUUAUAUUUAGAAAAAAUAAAUAAAUGUAGUUAAUUCAUUUCAAAAUCUUAGAGUGUAUAGUUAUUUACCCUUUUAAGCUAAUUCCAUAAAUUUCUCAUGCUCGCUUUCUCUCCUGAUUCUCCUUCACACAAUUUUUAGUUCUCAGAGCUCGAAUGCUUCCUAUUUGCCGUUACACUGAAAAUUAGGUCGAACAAUGAGGACUUCUCUUUGUAGAGCGCUUGCUCAAUCCACAAGGAGGACUAGAAGUCGUUCCCUCCAAUUCCUGUUGCGGUCGUCUUACUCCAUUUCUACUUCUUCCUCCAAUUCUUUUGCUACUGAUGCUAAGCAAUCUACAAUUUCCCACCGGAAAUCUCCUCCCUUGCCCUCAUUCUCUGAUUGCCCUAGACCUAGGGAGAUUCCAUUUCAGGCUAAGGUUGCCAAUUCCGUCAACUUGGUUGGAUAUAUUGGUCAGCCCAUUCAAUUCCAGAUUUCACCUGAUAGCAAGAAUUGGGCUGCCACCGUCAUAACCCAGAAACCUUCUUCUGAUUCUCCUCCUUUGUGGUACUUUGAUACUUUCUCUACAUUAUUAUUUACUUCCUGUUCUAUUUUCUUUGCUCCUUUUUUUUGUCUCUAUCUUUUAUCUUUGCUGGUUGUGUACAAUUUCUUUUUUUAUCUAUGUGGCGUUUGCUUUUUGCAUUAGUCUACAUACCAUGGAUGCAUAUGAUAAUUGAUAGAUUUAAUGUCCUUUAUAUGAGUUGUUCUUGUAUAAGGUUAUAAAACUUCUGUAAGAAUUUAUUUUGUUCAUUGGUAUUGUUUAGCACUCACUUGGUACUUCUUGGCUUAAUUUAGCACUUCUAUUAUAUAUGUUAAUUCUUAAAUUGAUUGAUGCCGGAACUUUUCAACAUGCACUUUUAUUGAAUUAGAAGUUUUUAGUACUAAGAAAUGAUGGUUUGAAUUUCUUUUUCGUGGUAUCUGCAGUGGGCAGGUUUUAGCUUUGCUGCUUCACAAUAUUUGACUACGAGAGGUGUUAGAGUGAUUGCAACCUAGAUUAUUUCCGUUAGUUGAAUUCCUUCUCAUCCAUGAAUAAAUUAAUAAUAAAAACAAUCGUGAGUUCUUAUAAUUUUUAAAAUUUGUUGCUCGUUUGGGGCACUUAAGUUUUGAGAGACUUUCUUGUUUCUACUAGAAAUAUAUUUUAAGUUGAUACUAGAUCUUUUUUUUGGGUCUGUGUUAAAAUUUUCCCUUUUUAUUGUAAUUGUACAAGUAAACUUUAACGAAAAUAAUUCCUAACAAUUUUUCCCCUUAAAAACCUUGACUUUUAUUUAAAAAAAAAAAAAAAACAAUUCUUUUAGUUUUCAUGAAAUAUUAUAUUUAUAGUGGUAGAGUGGGGAAUUUGAGUAUUGCUUUUUGGCCUAUAAAUUUUAAUUAAUUUACUUUCUUUUACCGAGUGCCAUUGUUAUUACAUUAAUAUUCACUUUUUGAUAUCAGGAUACCAAUAAUAUUUGAAGGUAAUUUGGCUCAUGUUGCUGCUACCCACUUGAAAAAAGAUAAUUAUGUCUACAUAGCUGGACAACUGAUUGGACAUCCCCCUCCUAUAGAUGUAAUAGGACGUCAAGCCCAAAUGUGGGUAAGUUCAAUUUAUAUGGAACUGAAAACAUACUUGAUGCGUUUUUGUGUGUACAUGUGCCCUUAUUUACAGUAAUAUAUAUUGAUAACUAAAUGAAGGAGGAUGUGUUAUUGCAUACUCUCUUUCUUCUUUUUCUUGUUUCUGAGUGGGUAUGUUUUGCCACAUUCUUGUGCAAUUUUAUUUAAUUAAAUUAAAGGGUAAGUCAUGAGAAAUUAUUUCACGCAAUCAUUAUAUGUACAACAGAUGAAUAUUGCUUAUGAUGAAAUCUACAUGGAAUCCACCAUAACUAAUAUAUGGAUAAAUUAUAUUUUAGUCUUUAAAUUAUACCAUAAUUAACCGAAACCGAUCAAUUUCUGUAUUUUUAAAAUUGAACACUUAAACCACUCUAUUUUCAUUCUAUCCAAAUACACGGUUCUUUCAUUCAUUUCUCCAUUAGCUCAAAGGUAAAUGGCUGGUCAAAUCCUUAAAAAAAAAGUUUUUCUUUCCAUAAUAUCCUUAUUGCACCAUACAAUACAUAUAAAAGAAAUUUUUACAUCUAAAAGUCCAAAUCCUCCUUCCUUUCUCAUUCUCUCUUUCGAAGAUAAAUGGCAAGUUGAUAGAUGUAUAUUAGGUAAUUUGAAAACUUUAUUGUUAAUUUGUAUAUUUAGCUGUAUGAAAUGUUUGAAUAAAUAAAAGUGUUUGUUUUGUAAUAUUUGCUUUGGCUGCGAAAGAUAGGAGGAAUUGAAAAUGGUGAAAACUUUGAGAAAACUGCAGAUUUUGAAUUCAGGGACUGAUUUGUUUUAAUACAUAAAAAUUGAAGGAUUUAAGUAUUUAUAAUUACUUGAAUUCUAUAUCCAGAAAAUUUUAAAUUAUUUUGUAUUUGUGUAUAAAAAGAAGAUACAAGAAAAUUGAAAAUGAUGUAAGGUUUGAGAAAACUGUAGAUUUUGAAUUCAGGGACUGACUUGUUUUAAUGCAUAAAACUUGAAAGAUUUAAGUGUUUAUAAUUACUUGAAUUUUAUAUCCAGAAAAUUUGAGAAAUGGUAGCAAGCCGGAUAAUUCUAAAUUGUUUUGUGUUUGUGUAUAAAAAAAAAAAAAAGAGUUAAUGUUAUAUAUUUAGUUUGAUUUGAUACCAAGGAAAUUAAAAAUGUUGAAAACUUUGAUAAAACCAUAGAUUUUGAAUCCAUGGACUAAUCUAUUUUAAUAAAUAAAAAUUGAAGGACUUAGAUGUAAAGCUUCAAACUUUAAAUUAAGGAUUGAUCUGUUUUAAUACAUAAAAACUGCAGAAUGAGAAAGGAAGAAGAAUUGGAUUUUUAGAUGUAAAAGUUUAUUUAAUGUGUCGUAUGGUGCAAUAAGAGUAUUGUGGGAAGAAAAAUAAUUUUCAGAGGUUUGAUUAGCUAUUUACCUUUGAAUUAAUGGAAAAAUGAAUAGAGAGACCAUGCAUUUAGACGAAAUGAAAAUAGAGGGAUUUAAGUGUUCGAUUUUAAAAAUAUAGGAAUUGAUCUGUUGAUUAUGAUAUAACUCAAAGAUUAAAGUGUGAUUUAUCCUUAAUAUCACACGUCAUAGUUGUAUUCUAAAAUCCGUCACAACUCGUAAGCCACUCAGAGAGCAAAGGAGACACCACUUUUUGUAGGACGUAAGUUGCUUUUCAUACUAACAAUAGAAGGGAAUGGAUUUUUUUAGGUAUUUUUAUUAUUCUACUUUUAUUUUUGUUUAUAUGAUUAUGCAAUGAUAGCAAAUGGAGGAAUUGGGAAGUGACAAUUUUUUAAUAUGAUUUUGAUAAUAAAGAGAAUCCUUGGGGAGUGGAGGAGCAUUCUUAUUCCUAUAUUUAAGAAAAAUGAAAAUAUAAAUAUGCAAAAUUACAAAAAUCAUAGAUAUCAAUCUUAUCAUUAUACAAUAAAUCUUUGUGUAGAAUAAUAAUAUUUGUUAUUAUAUUUCACAAUAGAGAUUACAACCUAUUUAUACAUGAGAGACGGUAUCUAAACAGAAAGAAAAAUCAAGUCUAUGAUUAUACAAUCUUAAGAUUAAGCAACUGACUCAUCUAUAAAUAUUUACUUCCUAUAUUAACAUAUUUACUUCCUAUAACCUAUAACACUCUCCCCUCAAGUUGGAGCAUAAAUGUUAAUUAUGUCCAACUUGUUACAUAUAUAAUCAAUUUUAGCCAUAAGAACAACCACCUCAAAACAAUCAAAAUAAAUAAAGGAUCAGAAGAACAUAACCCGUGAACAGUAACCAUGAACAAUACCCGAUGAACAGUGUCCAAUGUCUCCAAAUGUUACCUUUUAUAGGUAAUCCAAAUGAACAAAACCUUAAGUUUUCAAAUGUUACCUUUAUGGGUAAUACAAAUAAACAAAACCCUAAGUCUUCAAAUGUUACCCUUUAUGGGUAACCCAAAAUGAAUAGAGCUCUAUGUCUCCAAACGUUACCCUUUGUGGAUAACCCAAAUGAACAAAAUUCUAAAUUUUCAAAUGUUACCCUUUAUACAGAGCCCUUUAUACAGAGUCCUAAGUCUCCAAAUGUUACCCUUUAUGGGUAACCCCGAUGAACAGAGUCCUAAAUCUCCAAAUGUUAUCAUUUAUGGAUAACCCCGAUAAACAGAGUCCUGAAUCUCCAAAUGUUAUCUUUUAUGGGUAACCUAAAUAAAUAGAACCCUAAAUCUCCAAAUGUUACCCUUUAUGAGUAACCCGAUAAACAGAGCCCUAAGUCUCUAAAAAAUUUAAAUCUCUAUGGUGAGGCUCUGAUACCAUAUAGAAAUAAUAAUAUUUGUUGAAGUAUUUCACCAUAGAGAUUACAACCUAUUUAUACAUGAGAGACGGUAUCUAAACAGAAAGGAAAAUCAAGUCUAUGAUUAUACAAUCCUAAGAUUAAGCAACUGAUCCAUAGAGGAGCAUUCUUAUUCCUAUAUUUAAGAAAAAUGAAAAUAUGCAAAAUUACUCAAAUCAUAGAGAUAUCAAUCUUAUCAUCAUACAAUAAACCUUUGUAAAGAGUAACAGAA
rnacentral:lncRNA from 1 species